UGCACUCACAAAUUUCUCCAAAUCUAUCAUUUUUAUAUAACUUUUAAUACAUUACAACUAUCAUUUCAAACAUUUUGGAAUAGCGAAGGUCAUUCUAAAAUUUGGGGUCUGUUUCUUCCCCAAAACCAUACUUAUAUAUUUGCAGAAAGUGAAUAUAAUUCCUUCUCUGCCACUACCCAACUGCAAACUCCACACAUUCUUGAUACCUACAAGGAUUCUAAAUUAUUCCUUCAAAUCCAAACGCCGCCGCUCCAAUGCCGCCUAUACUCCCUUCGCACUCCUGACUGCAAAUGCCUUCUUCAAACACGCUUGCACCUGGCGCUAAAGAACACACCCUCAACCGAUUCACCAGCCUAGAAGCAGCUCAAGCCGCACAGCACAAUCGAGCACUAGGGCAAGAAAACUAUUUAUAUUUGUUAACAAUAAAUAAGACAUUUUCCAAUUCAGUAAAUAAAAUCAUGUGCCUUCUCCAUGAAUACAACAUAAGGGAUAGUACACUUAAUGAUGAUAAACACAUGAAGGAAGCCAAUUUAUCUAGUCAUCAUCCGACACAAACAUUGGCAAUGAAACACCAGUUUCACCAAAAUUGCUUUGAAGAUGACAUAUAAUUGCUUUAGAAAGUCAUUAUUAUGCUAAACAAUACCAAAUAAAUGGAAAACAAAUAAUGGAGGUAAAAUUACAUUGAAAUGAAUGUCGUUCGCCAACGUCCAAAUGAACUAGAAAGGAGCAUCACCGGAUAGCGAGGGGAACUUGUUUAUAUAGCUUCACUUGUUGUAAAUGCCACACAAACUUGUGUUUCGUAUGACAAGAUACAAAAUACAAGCAAAGCAGUAGAGAUUUUAAUAUUUGAAAAAAAAAAAAAAGUAAAGUGACAAGAAAACGAAAUGGCUCAGUCCCUUAGAUGUUCAAUAAUCGCGAUCAUAUCCGCAAUCAUUACAGGUCUGUAAAAUUACUCAUCAUCGCCAUUUCACCACAUAUUAUAGUAGAAAAAUGUAGCUGCCCCAUUGAUCUCCAACAACAACCAAACAAGAAGAUGGAGUGAUAAAAACAGAGCAACACAACUACUAUUGCUUCUAGGGAACGAGUUGAUAGGAUACUAAGUUAAAUCCAACAACCAGAUAGCGAAGCCAGCAACAAUCAACACUGAAAUCAACAUUAAUACAAUUAACUUAAAAAUAAAAAAUAUUGGAUGAACAAAAAAAUGUUCUUGAGCUUACUAGACCAGCUUCAAAGAAUAAAUCAGCAAGUCUGAAGAGCAAAAGGUCAUUAUACGAGCAGAUAAACACCUUCCUUCCCAUUCUUCUUUAAGACAGAAGGAGGCUGCCUGAAUUUCCACUCAAAUUACUUAUGUAAAAUUAAUACAAUCACUUUUCCAAAAAGAUUUUGAAAACUAAAAUAAGUUUGAAAAAUAAUAAUUGAGGCCUCAUUGAGAAGAUUAGAAAGUCUACACAUGAUAUUCAGACAUAUGCUUGUCUUUAUAGAGUUUUUAAUCAUAGGCCCACAGAUGAAAAUCCGAGAGAUUUAAAAGAAUAUUACUACUAUAUUUACAAAACUCAUCUAAGGAAAAUAUAAUCAGCAAAACUUUUUGAUCUAAUGUCAUCAGAUAGGAGCGAAAGACUAAAGAGUAUUAUAAUCACGAAUUAGUCAUUUGAACUAUGCAUCUAAUCAUCACUUGACCGAUCAGAGAAGUAAUUUUACGAAUAUAUAUAUAUAUAUAUACAAGUCUAGUGGAACAGAGAUCCAAAAAUUUUAAGGCAAUAAAAAAGGAAUUUGAAUUGGAUGCAACAAGCCUCAGAAGGAAGGCAGUAGUGUGUUCAUAAUCAACGAAUAAUCAUUAAUAAAAUUCCACUUCAAUCAUCAUAGGCACCUAUCAAAUUUUCCAAAAACAAGAGUAGAUUUUCGGAAAUGUGAACACGGAAAAUUCAAAAAAGAAUCCAACACUAUACGAGCAAAUAGCAUCGUCAUAGAGAAAUUGGACUGAUGUCCGUGCUUGGAUCCGGUGAUAUGCUUGCCAACAAUUGAGCACACAAUCAUCGGUAAACAUAUAAGCAAGCAAAAAAGGGGAGCAAAUAAAAUAAACCUAGAAAAAGAAAUGAGAAUUAGAAUUUUGGAAUGGGAGGACUCAGUUUAUGGGUGGUGAUAUAUCAGUAUGGUCGGCAAGGCAAACAAUAUGCCAUUACGACGAACGAGACCUAUCACAAUACUCAUCAUUGCCCACAAAUCAAUUAAAAUCAGUCUUCAAAAGCUAUGAAACCUGAAAAAGUUAGAAAUGUGUGUGUGUGUGUGUGUGUGUGCAGCGGCGAUGCAAAAUGAAGAGAGAAAGGGUGCUACUUAAAGGGAGGCGAGGGAGGCCACCGAAUUAGGGUUUUGGGUUUUGGUUUGGAGUAGGGCUGCGGCGUCGCUCAGAUUAACAUAUAAUGCGCUGGAGUAUAACAGAAAAGUUUUUUUUUUUAUAACUCAAAACAAAUUCUUUUAUUAUUAUUAUUAUUAUUAUUAUUAUUAUUAUUAUUAUUAUUAUUAUUAUUAUUAUUAUUAAUUGUUGUUUUUUUAGGGAAUUAUUAAUUGUUGUUAUUACUUCACGAACGUAAGUUAUUUUUCUUGCAAAUGGAAUACUUUUUGAAGGAAACUAACUUCAAUUGUUAAAUAAUCGAAAGUGAAAUCUCGAAAACUAAACAAAUGAAUCAGCGUCAAUUAAAUUUGUAAGUUUAAAAGAGAAAAAGAAGAAAAAACGUAGCAAAAAAAUUGUAAGUUAAUUCGUCUGAUUUUUAAUCAUUUGUUUACUUUUCUUGGUCGGUUGCUAAGUUGAAAUAAUUCUAGUUGUACUAGUAAUAUUUCAUAAAUAAUCUUUUAAUGUAAGGUUGAAUUGGAAUAGGCUUUACAACAUUCUAGAUUUCUAGUAUCCAUAGUAUAGCUCCUGUGAUAUAUGGAUAGAAUUAUCGGGUUGAUAAAUGGGAGGUUUAUGUAGGGACGACAAUAGGUAUUGGAUUCGGCCCAAAUGCGUGAAUUCAAAUAUAUUUUUGUAGAAUUUGGAUUUCAAAAUUUUGGACUCGAACUCGAUGAAUUUGAAUCGGAUCUGAAUCUGAAUUUAUAAAAUAAAUAUAAAUUUGAAUUUUUAAUUUUUAGAUUCGGAUUCACCCCAAAUUCGACCCGUGGAUCCCUUUUUUUUAAUAUAUUAUAUUUUAUAUAUACUUUUCUAAUAAUAUAAACAUAAAUAUAAAUAUUAAAAACCAAUACAUAAUACUAAUACUUUAAAAAUCAAUACACAAUACAAAUACUUUACGCAAUAUAAAUAUUAAAUAUAAAUAUAUAAAACAUAAACAAAAAUAUUAAAAUCGAUACAAUAAUAGAUCCGCGAAUCUGACGGAUAUAGAUCUGAAUCACAAAUUUUCAGACCCGUUGAAUUUUGAGACGGAUCUAAAUCUCUGUAAAUAAAAUGGAUCUGAAUCUGCUAUUUAUAAGAUCCGAUCCAGAUCCAACCUAUUAUCAUUCCUAGGUCCAUGUGGGUUAUCGUGUCCUACUCUACUAUAACAUAAAUAAAAUUAUUCAUUCAUAAAGAAAAAUAUUUUUAUAUUACUUUUUGGCAGUUAUAGAAAAUAACACUUCAAAUAUUCGAUGUUUGCAUAAUAAAUUUAUUAAUCUAUGUUUAUAAGCAUACGAACAAUAUGUUUUGGUAUUUUAAUUUAACUUUAUUUUGUUGUUAUAGGGAUGUCAAUUCAAUUUAAAUCGUGAACUUGAUCUCAAUACAUAAAAUAAGAAAAGAAUAUGCAUUCAUAUUGUCAUAUUGGAGAUUGGAAUUUAAUAUCUAUUUAUCCAUAUUAAAACAUAAAUUUUAACCAUUUUUUGUAAUUUUAGAUUAUAUUGCCCUUAAUUUGGACAGACCGAAUCAGAUUGGGCGUGCGGGCACGGGUGGUAAUUUUGGAAAUGGUCCGUAAUGAAAUCCUUUCAUGGGUGGGUUAUGAAUAUGAGAUCAAUCAUAAAGUUGAAAUAAAACUUAAAAUAAUGUUUAAAUAUAAUUUAUUUUUAUAAAAAUACAAUUUAAAUUUCAAACAUUGGACCAAGUUGCUAAGCAAACUCAAUGUUUCAAUAAUAUCAUAAUAUUUCUGUUUGUUGAAAAUUCAAUUUUUCUAAUUUUAUUUGUNGACAAUUCAAAGGCAUUAAUUGCACGACAGGGCAUUAAUUGCACAAUUCAAGGCAUUAAUUGCACGACGAGGGCAUUAAUUGCACAAUUCAAGGCAUUAAUUGCACGACGAAGGCAUUAAUUGCACAAUUCAAGGCAUUAAUUGCACAACGAAGGCCUCAAUGUCCAUGCUCCGCGCAGAGAGCAUUGCACAUGUCACCAGAGGGGGGAGUAGGGUGUAUACCCAUAGCCUAUAAUUUACAAAUUCAAACUUGCUGCUUAGCAAGUCAAGGGAAAAAUAAACAGCCAGGGACAAUGCUCGAACAAGGGGAAGAGCAGAGGGAUCAGAGGGGUCAUGCAGCCAGCAGAGCAGAGGGUUACAUUUAACCGUAACCCGCAAAGUUGGUUGCACCCCGGUCCUCCAUGCUCCGCGCAGAGGUCACUACUUAAUCGUAAGCCGCGAAAGUUGGUUGCACCCCCCGGGUCCUCCAUGCUCCGCGCAGAGGUCACUACUUAAUCGUAAGCCGCGAAAGUUGGUUGCACCCCCCGGGUCCUCCAUGCUCCGCGCAGAGUGUUCAAGCUUGGAUGGGAAGCAGCAAAGGAAUGCAUACAAAGGAGGGAAGCAGCAAAGGAAUGCUCUGCCACCGUCCGUGAUCCCAAUGCUCUGCCACCGUCCGUGAUUUCAAUGCUCUGCCACCGUCCGUGAUUCCUAUGUUCUGCCACCGUCCGUGACUCCAAUGCUCUGGCAUGAUUUCAAUGCUCUGGCAUGAUUUCAAUGCUCUGGCAUGACUCCAAUGCUCUGGCAUGAUUUCAAUGCCCCACCGUGAUUUCACUGGUCUGCCGUGAUUUCAAUGCUCUGCCGUGAUUUCACUGCCAUGCCGUGAUUUCAAUGCUCCACUGUGAUUUCACUGCUCUGCCGUGAUUUCAAUGCUCUUUCGUGAUUCCAAUGCUCUCUGUUACUCUGUGGCUGCUCUACCCUACUCUAUGGGUUGCUUUGAUCUAUUCUAAUCGCUGCUCAGCGAGAAAUAAGCCGCCUUUUGGCGUGCUACUAUCAUCCAUCGGUCUUCUCAUGCGCUGGUUUUCUUACGCGCGGAUUAUCUAUUGGAUUUCUCACGCGCUCAACAAUAGGGUAUAUUGUUCAGACUCGACAAAUAUUUAUGACGGGUUUCCUCACAUGAUCAGAGUAUCAUAUUUCUCAACUUCGACAUGGGUCUUCCUAUGUUAUUCGGGUAUUCUUGCAACGGUCUUCUGAUUCAUCCAACACAAAGCAUUUAUAUUGCUUAUCUAUGCAAAGUAUUCAAUAUGGGGUAUUCUCAGCGCUGGUCUUCUUAUGCGCCUAAAGAAAUGGAAAUUAUUUAUCUUUGUCAACAUUCAACAAACAAGAAGGAAAUCUAACUUGGAACUACAAUUCCAAAGUCAAGGGAAAAAUGCUUAUCUUUGCUUUCUUAAAAUAUUAAAACUCUUAUGUCUUCAUGAUUUGCAGGGAUUAAGGAAAACAGCACAGCGCUGGCUUUAACAAUACUUCGCUGGCUGAACACGAAGAAUACCCGGUUCAACCAGACUAGGGGGAGUAGCUGAUGAAGACUGAAAUAUGCACCAGCGCUGUGCUAAACAUAACGGGAAUAUUUCUAGUUAUUUUUGUUAUUGUGGUUAUUUCUGAUAUUUGAUACAGGAUUGCCCUGACUUUAGGCUUGGCUCAGCUCGGCUCCGCUUUCCAGCUCUGAUGGCUCAAUUUCAAGAUGUAGAUUAGAAUAACGGGGCUUUGGCUUGAUUCAUUGGGCUAAUGGGCUUUAGGGGUCUAAUGGGCCCAAGGGCCUUAAGUUUAUGUUCAUGCUUAUAAAUAGGGCCUUGAUGCAUAGAUUAGGGGAUAGUCAUUUUUCUAGCCUCAACUUGUAAACUGUAAAAUACUCUCUCGAUUAUAGUGGAAAGCCCCCAAAAACCCCGUGGACGUAGGUCGUCUCGACCGAACCACGUAAAUCCGGUGUCGUUUACUGCUUUCUAGUUUAGGUGUUGGUUUCUCGUUUCACCAAAUUUAUUAAUCUAUGUUUAUAAGCAUACGAACAAUAUGUUUUGGUAUUUUAAUUUAACUUUAUUUUGUUGUUAUAGGGAUGUCAAUUCAAUUUAAAUCGUGAACUUGAUCUCAAUACAUAAAAUAAGAAAAGAAUAUGCAUUCAUAUUGUCAUAUUGGAGACCGAAUCAGAUUGGGCGUGCGGGCUCGGGUGGUAAUUUUGGAAAUGGUCCGUAAUGAAAUCCUUUCAUGGGUGGGUUAUGAAUAUGAGAUCAAUCAUAAAGUUGAAAUAAAAACUUAAAAUAAUGUUUAAAUAUAAUUUAUUUUUAUAAAAAUACAAUUUAAAUUUCAAACACUGGACCAAGUUGCUAAUCAAACUCAAUGUUUCAAUAAUAUCAUAAUAUUUGUGUUUGUUGAAAAUUCAAUUUUUCUAAUUUUAUUUGUAUUCUGUAGAAGUUUUGAAAUAAAAUGUAGACAUCCAUCUAAUUUCAAAACUCAAAAUUAAUUAAGAAAGCUUGGUGCACGUUAUCUAAAUUAUUCUCCCAUGCUUUCAAAUGUCAUUGGAUCAACAAUAAAACGAAUUUGUCACUCAAAGAUUUGGAAGAACGUAUAGUUCGUCACAUACUGAAUCAAACAUAUUCAAAUUCUACGAGUUAUGUAAAUCAGAAAUUCAUUCGACUUAUACUAGAAGCAAAUUCUUAUUACUAAGUAGAUUUAUCAUAAUUUCAUAAAAGUAUCAUAUUCCCAAUAAUAUAAUAUCACAAAAUGCGUAGAGUAACUUAAAAACAUAAUCAGACCAAAAUAGCAACCUUCAUUUGGUAUUCUUUUAGGAUUAAUUAUUGGAAAAUUCAUAUACUUUCACACAUUUUGAUUUUUUUCCCUUAACUUUUAAAUCUGUCCGACAAUCCAUUAAUUAAAUAAUCACAUGGGAUUUUCCCCCAUCGAUAUUUUCUGCCCCUAAUUAAGUCCUAGCUGACAAUCGAGAAGCUAGCGUAGCUAUGUCGUUUGGUAACACAAACACCGUUUCUGUAUUACCAUUGAAGUUGUCAAAAAUUUGGUUUAAUUUAGGAUUUAAUAGUAAUUUAUUCUUCCUCAAUUUCAGAGGUUGUUCCAUACUUGCCUCUUCGAGUCACAUGUUUGUCACUCCAACCUUCGGUUCCACGAAGAAUGUCCACAAAAUUGAGAUCUUCUAGUAAAUCUUUGUUACUUGAUUGGUACAACAGUUUCCUGUUCAGGAGAUGAUGAUGUACAGUUCCAAACAUGGAGUGUUAACACGUAUAUGGCAACAAGAAGGCAUGCCAUAAAAAAAAUGAUCAAGUUAUAUACCAACGAGGACUAAGCCUCGUGGUCGUGAUUUCUUGUGAUUUGCACAAUUGUCGCUUUCUCUGGUUGCAGAGCAGAGUCCUAGAUUUUCGAUAUACGUCCGAGGAUGCAAAGCCAACACCUUGGCCCAAGCUGCUGGGAUUUGGCCGGAGAGUUGAUUUCAAAGAAAGAAACAGUGAGAUAAAGUAUGCAAAAAUGGGUAAUAGGGUUCCUAAUUUAAUUAAAAAUAUAUUAAUAAGAUAUUAAUUGAAAAAUGUAGUGAAAAUUACAUGUAAUAUCCAACAUAGUGACACUUGAAUAAAAUAGGUAAACGUAGGAUUCGCAUAAAAAAAUCAAUUAAUCGAAAAAUAUCAUCGAGGAAAAAUUCUGAAUGAUUAUUUAAUUCAUGGAUUGUCAAGCAUAAUUUAAAAGUCAUGGAAAAAAACCAAAAGGUGUGAAAGUAUAUGAAUUUUCCAACAAUUAACUUUUUUUUUUAUCUACGGAGAAACCAAAAGGCCACAAUACUAGUAAUUUUAUAAUAAAAAAAAUAAAAUAUAGAAGACCCAAAAUGCCUUAUUGAAGGCAAAAAGAGAAAUUAAGCCCAAGGGGCAAAUACAUUAACUUGGAAACUCAAUUACCUUUACUGUAAUAAAAACAUAUAAGCCGCCAAUAUAAAAUCACAAAACCAGCUUCCUACCUAGUAAACUGCAAUAAUUAUGCUGCAGAAGAUGAGAAGAUAGUAAUCUAACAGUUCAGAGACAAAAGAUCGAAAUCUGGAAUCCAAAUCAGAUGCCACCAUUACCAGUAGUGAAAUUAUAUCAAAGGCAUGCGCAACCUAUCAUAUUACUCAUGAAUUCAAAGCCUCUCAGCUUCUACGAUCUAUCCGGUCUGAUUCUAUCAAGUUGAGUAGUAUGCUGAUCCAAGGUAGAUAGGAUUUGGGGCAUCGACAUGCCACCAGAUACCACGAUUUCUGCAUAAAUAAAACGAAUACUACAUUGGACUAUAUUCCCAAAAUACACACAUCUUAGAAAAUACUUUUUGAGAAUUCCAGUUUAAUGUUUUUUUCUCCAAGGCAGUAAAUAAUUAGUCUCUGCCUAAAUCAGCACUAUUUUCCAUGUAAUACACAGUAAAAGUGUUUACAUUUCAAUCCAUAUCCUCAAAUCUUGAUUAUCUACUGAAGUUACAAGAUAAAAGAGAUAAAGAGACACCAAGAAAAGUUUUCCCAGUAAAGAAGAAACAAGUUAGAAAGACAUCCGAAAAGGGAAGGAGAAAAAAAGUUUUAAACUCCAUACAAGUAUCAUUUGCAAUGCCUGGGAACACUAAGUGCCAUGUUAUGUUCUUAUAUCACUGAUGGCUUCCAAUCCCCUAUCUGCCAAUAUACUAUACAUUCAGAAGGAAAAUGAUGUGUCUACACGACCACACACCCAAAUCACCCCCAUGCCGUCCUACCUAAUCGGCAACCAGCAUUCCCUGUGUCCCACAUAAGUAACCCUCUCCCUACUACCCACCAGCCCCCUAAACCUUCUUCUCCUAACAAAAUAUUUUCCCACGUCCUUCCCCUGCACCUCACCUGAGUUCCAUCAGUCGGUUUGAUGACCCAAAAAUCACCCAGUAAUUGAUUCCACAACCAACCAACUUAAUGAUCCAUAUUGAACUUAAUCUUAUCACUGACACCUCACCAGCUGAUAGCCAAUCCUUCAAACACUUCUAGUGCGUGUUCUCCUCUAUACUCCCUCGAACUAAUGCACUAUCAUAUCUGCCAUAGCUCCCUCCCAAAAUAUCAUGACAGUGAGCUAAGAACAGAAACUAUGAUCUUUAAGCCAUUAGGAACUGGCGUCUGGCGUUAAACCACUAACAGGUGAAAUCUGAGUACAAGAAAGAUUUGUGCCACUGCAGGUGCAAUUCAGGUGGCCAGAUCUCUAUUCAAAUGAAAUUGUCUAGUUUCUUUAGCUUUCAAUCAUUGCAAUAGUGGCAAUUUCAGGUAAGGGUGACCAACAUGGUUGUAACAUAGACUAGGUAGGAAGUAUGACCAAAGUUGCAAAGUUGCAGCCUAGCAGGGGUUGCAGGAGAGGCACAGGCUUACAGGAUGAGGCUGGCACAAGCACAAAGAAGAUAUUAAGGUUGAUGAAGGCAGAAUAAGGUAGGUUUAAAUGGUUGUCGAUAGAUGCAUGACAGUCUGAUAUAAUAAGUUCAUAGUAUAGUUAUAAACAAGGGGCUAAUCACAUUCAGAUUUAUAUCUCACUUUUAAUUUUUUUGCCAAAACAACAGUCAGUAAAGGCAAAAAACGCAACUACGUCAUUAUCAUACCAAAAUAGGUGCAAAUAUAUCUUACCAAUUCCUUCUCGUACAGACAAGUUAGGUCUAAUAACAUCUUUAGCAUUGACCAGGAACAUAUCACCAAUGUAAAGAUGGUUCGUUGGGACAUACACACAGCAGAGCUCUUCCUCUCCUGAAUAACUCUGGUAUGGAAGAAAAAUAAUAACUAAAUAAGAAAAAAAUAUAUACACAAGUAAAAUCAACCCAAAUUUGCAAAUUCACCAAAACAUCAGAGGGUCACUGUUAUAUUAUUAAACAUUAAUCAAGAAAUUUGAAUAAAUUGAGCUUCUGUGUUACAUUACAUCAAUAGAGAUACAAGGAGGAGGAGGGUUGCUUCCAGACUGGGCUAGAAGUCCAAGUUUUAAUACUUAACCGUGACAAUCAAAUUAAUAAGUGGCUUUAUAUGCAGAUAAAUGAACAGAACUUACCAAAGAAUUUUUGCAUCUUUUGUUCACAGUUCAUAGUGUACCAGUACAUGAGCAGGGAAGGUAAUCAACAACAUGAAAAUUAACGCAUCAAAAAAUUUGACAGAUUAAAACUGCUGGUUAUGCGCUUACUAUGUGCAGGUGAAAAUUACCCAGCCAUAAUUUCGAUUUCGAGAACAUCUCUCUUCUUCAAUUAAUUAUCAACGUGACCAUCAUGCAACAAAACAUUACAGUUCCACAGGCUAGAAUGAUCCAGUGUGCAAAAGAACCCACAUUUAAGGGGCUAACAUGACCAAGUCUACAGAUAUAAAUCCAAGUGCCAGAAAAUAAUAAACUAAGAGAUGCAAGACAUGGCAAACCUGGAGUGUGAGAGAUGAAGUGAUGAACCCAAAUGCGUAUUCACCAAUACGCGGAUGCCUUAUUAUAGCCACUUCUUUGAAAGCCCGUGUGUUCUGAUCUGCAAUAGUAAUGUCUAACAAACUCUGAAUCCAUACCUAGCAAAAGCUCUAUUCAAGAGCCUAAAAACUUGAAAAAACAAGUGCACCUGGAGAUAUGGCAGCACUAAUUUGCUUCGAGGCGUUGUAAAUAUGACGAAUGAAGGGCAUGCGCUUAAUAAACCACUCUCCAAGGCUCAAAACAGAAGCCCCCAACCAUGAUGACAUAAAUACUCCAACCAAGAAAAUAAAAGUAAUGGAGGUCACAAAUCCCAAACCUAAAUCAACAUAAGAUACAGUGUUAGUAGCAGUAAAAAUAUGCAAAAGGAACAUUUAUAAAUGUAGGAUUCUAUCAAAGAUAAUUAAAUGAAAAUUAACUAUAUAAAAUAGAUAUCAGCGUUGCAAGAAAUUAAAAUUAUUCGUAAUAAAAUUUGUUUCCGUUAUAAGCAACAUGAUUUCUAUGUAUAUACUUCUUUAGAAUUAUAGAAAUUUUACUUCUAUACUUCUUUUUUCCCAGAGGAGAUGAUAAUCAUGAUAUUUUUUUCUAUUUCUUAACUAAUACUAAUAUGUACAGUUUUGUAAGGUGAGUAACCUAAUAUAUCAGAUAGAUAUGAAAGUAAUAAAUGGUGACUAUCUACUUUUAGACAUUAAGUGAAAGUUCAGCAUGCUUACCAAAUAUAUCAAUUCCAAGUUGAGCAUAAAUAGGAGAGAAAAAGCCAUCCACAAAAUGAAUGAACCACCAUGUUACAUAGAAAGUAAUAGCUAUUGGUAGAAGGAUGACACUGCAAAAUGACAAAGUAGGUGCAUAUCAACAAGUGCACAGAUGAGCAACAAUUAGUUUCAGGUGCAAAGCAGAGGGAGUAUUUACUAACAGUACAUAUAUUCACUAAUGUACAUUAAACUUUGGUGAAACUAUUCUGUAGAGACAAAUUGUUAUAUACUAUUUUUUUAAGUUGUAAAACAAGUAUGAUAAAUAAUGAAAUGGUUUGUAGCUCAAAUAAUAUAAAAAAUUGAAAAACAGUAGUAAUGCAGUUCUAACAAAAUUUAGAUAGUCAGAACUUAUUGAUUAAUGGAUGUUAAGAAAAUAAGAGAUGCCCUAGACUUCACAUCUGGAAUCACAUGGGAAUCCUGCAACCAAGUAUCACUUGUCUCUCUUGUUCUUUUAAUUCCCAUGGCCAAUAAGCAUUAAAAUCUGUAAUAAGUUCUUACAGGACUGUAUAUUACAAUAAGGGUUUAGGGUUCUUUUGAUUUUAUUUUUAAAGAAAGCCUCUUACUACACAACUUGUCACAUUAGGAAUGAGUGCUCAAUCCCUUCCUCAAAACGACUAAACUUUUUUAAGGCAUGCAAAUAUUUUGUGAUGUACCAGAAAUCGAUUAGCUACUAAAAAGCUAGAUCCUUGUGCCCACAUUAGGAAAGAGAUUAUUCAAGACUUCCUUCAAAACCACUAAAAUUUUCUGAAGGCAUGCAUAUAAUUUGUGAUGUACCAAAAAUCCCUAAGCUAAAAACUAGAUCUCUAUCUAAAUAAAAGUAAAUAAACUGAACCAGAUAAAACUCUUAGCCUAUCUAUCUCUUUGUCAUCUUCCACAGUAACCAAAAUAUUUUGUUUCUGUAGCACCUUGCAUUGUCUUAGUGAGGUAGCAGCCCAAUAAUUAUUGACAACAAGAGUGGUUCAAAAGAUAAAAAUGAAGCUUUCACACUGAUACUCAACUUGCCCCUCAUGCUUCUUCAUUCGUAAUAAGAUAAAAAUAUAUUAUGUACUGAGAAAAUAACUAUUAUGUCUGAGUGUCCAAAUAUAUUGCAGGUCUAUGCAAUGAAGAUUACCAACUGAAGAGAUCAGAGAUCACCAAAUGCAAUCAUAGACCAACCAAAAUGAUUAUGUCAAAGAGAAACACCUAUAUAGUAGUCAAAUCAAAAUCUAAAAGGCUCCUACAUGUAUUAUACAGCUUAAGCUUAGAAUUGUAAGGACCAUGUUGGAUAAAUAUUUGCUCACCAUCCAGUCAUGAACUUCUUCGAAGCCCAGCUCCUCACGACUUUGUAAAAUGUCUGCAUGAUUACAAAGACGAAGAAUUACACUUUUAUCUUUCGAUACAAAGCAAUUUAUCUAAAACCAGCACAAAAUCGUAUUUAUAUUGAUGAAGAAGCAAUACAAUAUGUUCGCAUGAAUUAUAUGAUCAACAAGCUCUACAAAAUACAAAAUAUCUUUACAUGCACAGAUCAUUAUCAUUAUCAGCUUGGAGAUGGGGAUGAGGAGUGGGUUGCAGGAAAAUAGUACAAGAUGAGCUGAUUAAAGUUAGGCAGCUCUCCACUACACAAAAAGAAAACAGAAUGGCACACAGCUGAUGUCCAUAUGUCUUGUUUCUCAUCAUCAUCCCCCCCCCACCCUCUGAUAAAUCCAUCCAUCUUAAUACUAGUCUUCUGCAUGUGUGACUAAACUAAGCAAUUACAACCCUCAAUGUAAAGAGCCAAUGGCAAUUUACAGAUAAUUCUUUAAAAGAGGUUUGCAAUUGCUAAAAGACGAGGAUAAUCAACGGUUUCCUUCUGAUACAAAAUUCAUCACAUCACAAUAACUCAUUAGUUGUUUUCCCACUACAAUACUUAAAUUCAGAAUUAGUGAACAAGACAGUCUUUAUUGCUAACUACACAUAACUCGCAUUUCAUAUAUGCAAUUAAAGAAACAAAUAACGAUAAAGCUCGUCCAAUAUAACAAAAGAGAAAACAGGUGGCAAAAAUAACUCCUAAAACCCUAAAACGGAAAUAAGAAAAAAAGAAAGAGGAAGAAUCCAGAGACCAAAACAUAAGUGCAGAAAAUACCUCACGGCCAGAAUGAUGGUGGGAGGAGGAAGCGGAGGCGGAGGAGGGGCCGUCGUCAUCGAGGCGGCGGUCAACAGAAUCAGCCACCGGUAUAAGAAGCUCGCGAUCUCUGUCUCUGCCGCUGCCCAUCACGCCGAGAGAUUUCUCAUCUCCCAUCACACACACUCCUUAAAGACUCUCAGUCUUAACAGAUUCAGUGUUCAGCCGCCCCUCUCUCUAGAAAUUGAGCUUGAAUUGAAUGAGCAUUCCUUUACUGUUAUGGGUUAUGGCUGGUUAGAUUAGGCAUCAACCAAUAAUAAUGAGAACCAAUUUAAAUUGGUGUUUUAGUUGUAAAUCACAAAAUUCAACGAUGGAUGACGAUUGAAUUUGGGCCAUUUGAUGAGCUGUCCCCAACCACACCAUGCCAGCUCUUUCCUUAAAAAGACAAAAUAUACACUGCUAUUUUGUUUUACUACUAAAUACGAAUAAAAUACGGCGACAAUCAUAUGAUAAGAUAAAUGUAUAAGGGUUAAUCACAUAAAAUAAUAUAGUAUCUGCGUAAAUUUAUAAUUUUCACGUAAAUUUAAAACAUUGCACUUACAAUAUCAUAUAGUAUUACCUUUUUCAAUAAAAUUGUCUGAUGGGUAUGCUAACAAUUUCGUUAGUUUUAAUAAUAAAAAAAUGAGGAUGCUGUAAUUGUAAAAAUAUAGUGUCGUAAUGCAAAAAUUUAAAGAGCGCGCAAAAAUUAUAAAUUCAAAUAAAUAUUAGUACUACUAUGUUAUUUUAGCAAUUAUUCAUUUCUUUUCAAUAAUAGUCCAAUCUUUGAUUUCUUAAAUUUUUCUUUAUUUUUGCUAUUUCCUUAUGCCUUUUUCCGCUUUCGGGUUGGAAAGAAGUACAAAACAUUAAUUAUUUAUAAUAAUAAUAAUAAUGUAUCCCACUGUCUUAUAAUGAGAAGAUAUUGUUAUUUUCUUUAACAGGACAUGUAACUCAAUUAAUUGUGCUUAUAUUUGCUAGUGAACUGUAACUGACCCGACAAAUAUUGUGCUUAUAUAUAUGUUAUUCGCUUAUGGUCGAUCUGAUAAUCCAUCACAUGUUUUUUAAAGAAGUAGUUGUAUGUUGGUUUGUGUUUUCCACAAGUUUCGCACGGCUAAUAGAGCCGCACACUUAUCAGCUCAAGUUGCUGAAAGCGUUGGACAAAUGGUUUCUCGAGGUGGCUUAAAGAUGUGAUUGUUAAGGAUAAUAAUUGAAUAAAGAGUAUCUUUCCCGUUUUAAAAAAAAUCACUAACAAAGUUAUUUAUCGCUUGUAAUAAUAACAAAAGAAUGUGACAUGAAAGGUAUUUAGUAUAGGAAUAUAGAAAAUAAAUAGCAUACAUGCUCAGCUACUGCCGUUCCGAGUUAGUUAGUUUGCUUAGCUGUAUUUUCCCUUUUGCCUUAUUUUUCCACGUUCCUUUCAUGUAGCUAGUUGUAUAAAGAGGAUGUUGAGCUUCGAUUGUAACUCAUUCACUCAAUCAAUAAACUUGUUUUUCCUCAUUUUACAUCUUUCUCUCCAACAAAAGACAUUUUUCUGUUCAAAUUAACUAGUCUUAUGCAUUCAUACAAAUUUAAGCAUCGUCACUUCACCUAAGAAAUUUCGAAUAGAAAAUAUUAUCGUGUUGCACUAGAAAAAAUAAAUACAGUAUAUUUGUAUUGUUACUAUUAAAAUGCACAUAAAUAUCAAAAGUUAGCCUGAAGUUCGUAAAAAAAGUCAUCAUUUCUUUCUUUCAAUCCUUCUUUUAUUAUAACUAUUUAUGACACAUAAGAAAAAUUAUUUGUAGAAGAGCAGAGAGAUAACAAAAAGGGGUAAUUAUAUUCAUAACCACAUUUUUACUCACUAUAACCCUGUUUAAAAUAAUAAUAAUAAUAAUAAUAAUAAUAAAUAAAUAAAUAUAAAUUUACUAUUUUAUCCUUUAAUUCAUAACAUCCAAAUAAAAUAUACUUGAAAUCUUUCUAUUUCAAACCCAUUUUUUCACAGUAGCCAUUUAUUUCUAAAAUAUUAAAAAUACUAACAAAAGUAUUGUAUUAUUCCUGUAAUUCCAUUUUAAAAAGUUCACAUCCCUAUUUUCUUUCUAACGUAGCCAUUUUUUUCUUCACGUAACCCUUUCAUGCACAGUUGCUCGAAUACAUUAAAAAAGUAUUGCAUCUUUUUUUCUGGACAAUUGUGCCCAGUUCUUGAAUGCAUUAUAAUUUUAUUGCAACAAGAUAAUAUCAUAUCAUUAGACAAAGACUUGAUUNAGUGAGAGUCAUCGCGGCCAUCCUCGGUAUAUCCGGCAGAAAAAGCCUCCGAUGAAUAAUUGGGAAUAAUUUCUGCUGACGUGGCGCCACGUCUCCUCUUCCGUUCCUCAAUAUUUGCUAAUAAAGAGGCAUCAAUUUGCAUGGAAUCACGUCCAUAAUUAUCGGGAGUGAAUCUCCCAUAGCAGAUCUGUGAGAAUUAUGGAUAAUAAUUUCCCUUGAGAGAUUCCCGGUGGUAUAACCGAAAGAUUUGGAUCCUGAUUUUCCUGGAAUUUCCUUUUCGGAUCAACUGGUAACGGCUCAUGCGAAGCCCUAGGAACAGCCGCCAUCUUACUAGGGCUUGCGCCGUCACCCGCCCGGAGCCAUUUAUCGCCGGAGAGGUUAACCACACGGCGGUCCGCCGCUUUGAGCCACACUCCCCAUUCCCGCUCCGCCUCCUUUUUACCUGGGGUGAAGAGGAGUUCGCAGAAAGACUCCGAGUGACCCAAUCUGCCGCAAAAAACAUUGAGACGCUCAUAUUUGAAGUUAACAACAAAAGAGGAUCCAUCCUUCUUCUUUAGCUUCUUGAAACGUUUGAGAGGUUCAGUGACACGGAUGCCCACUCUCACCCGCAUGUAUUGACGCCACACCCCUGAGGAAUUAGUUGAGUCAUACUCUAGGAACGAGCCUAAGAAGUUACCAAGCAAACGUCCCAUUCCUUCGGUUAGAUAACCUGCGGGUAGGUCAUGGAUCUGAACCCAGAAAGGUAGAUGAUCCAAAGGUACAGCCAACUGAAAUUCACCGAGUUUGAGUCGAUGUAAUAAGAGCGGAUAGUUUCCGAACGCCCAAGGGCCACCCUCGAUGACACGGAGCAAAUCGACCUCAUGGAAGAACUGGAAGAUGUAUCUCCCUUGACCGAUAUCCUUCAUGAAAACACCUUUACCUGGGCGCCACACGCUUGCUAAUCUGCUACGCAUGAGGUUGAAGUUGAUUGGUUGUUCCGUCAAGAAGCGGCCAACUAGACAGAGCUCCACCGGGAUAGUAGAGUCUUUGACGACGUCGUCAUCGAGAACAAAUUCAUCAUCUUCAUUUGAGAGGGUAAGACCCGCCAUGUGAUCCUCCAUGGGAAGAGACAGGGAAACAUAGAGAAACGGAAGAAAAAACAGACGUUCUCAACGAAGGAGAAAAGACGGAGGCUCUCAACGAAGGAGAGAAAAAAAAAAUUGUUUUUUAUUUGUUACUAUUAAAAUGCACAUAAAUAUCAAAAGUUAGCCUGAAGUUAGUAAAAAACGUCAUCAUUUCUUUCUUUCAAUCCUUCUUUUAUUAUAACUAUUUAUGACACAUAAGAAAAAUUAUUUGUAGAAGAGCAGAGAGAUAACAAAAAGGGGUAAUUAUAUUCAUAACCCCUUUUUACUCACUAUAACCCUGUUUAAAAUAAUAAUAAUAAUAAUAAUAAUAAUAAAAUAAAUAAAUAAAUAAAUAAUAAUUUACUAUUUAUAACAUCCAAAUUAAAUAUACUUGAAAUCUUUCUAUUUCAAACCCAUUUUUUCACAGUAGCCAUUUAUUUCUAAAAUAUUAAAAAUACUAACAAAAGUAUUGUAUUAUUCCUGUAAUUCCAUUUUAAAAAGUUCACAUCCCUAUUUUCUUUCUAACGUAGCCAUUUUUUUCUUCACGUAACCCUUUCAUGCACAGUUGCUCGAAUACAUUAAAAAAGUAUUGCAUCUUUUUUUCUGUACAAUUGUGCCCAGUUCUUGAAUGCAUUAUAAUUUUAUUGCAACAAGAUAAUAUCAUAUCAUUAGACAAAGACUUGAUUCUAUUGAAAUUUAUUGAAAUAAACUGGAUUAUUUUAAAUAUUUUCAAAACAAAUUAUGUCAAUCUAAUAUUUAGAAUGAGCCCAGUUAACAUAAACCUAGCUAGUUUGCGUUUCAAUCUUGAUAUAUCAAUGGAAAGAAGAAGAAAAAGACGACCAAUUAUAGCGCUUAUAAUUGUUCCUCCGUCUCAAUAGAGUCUUCUCCAAAUAAUUUCCAAAUUCCCUUCCAAAUUUCAUUUCUCUUUGAUUAGCAUGUGUGCAAUUUCUACACUCAACUUAGUUUUACACAAAAAUAAUAGUACAAAUUUAUAGGGAGAAUUAAUUGUGUUUUGGAAUUUGAUAUGAAACCAUACAUUUAUAAGGUAUUUAAUUUUGAAUUAUAAAAUAUAGGGUAAUAAUAAUUAUUUAUUACUAUUAUUUUAAAUUAGGGGCGUCAAUGAAUUUUUGUUAGGGUGCGUUCUCUUUGUAAUUUUAUCCUGAGAAAAGAGGGAUAAACAAAAAUUAGUCUCAGAAUGAUAAAAUCCCAUGGUGUUGAGAGAGGCCCAAGUCUUUACAAUAGUGUGUAGCCCAAAAAAUAUUUUACAAAAUAACUCAUAGACAAUACCACCAUUUUGGAGGCCCUUUCGCCACAAAAUAGUUUGCAAAAAGUGUAUAUGAAAAACCUAGGUUUCAGCAGUAACAAGUUGCGACAAUGAAUAACUUUAACAAAUCAAUUAAUCUAUACAAUGUAAAGUAGUUGCAGUACCAAGUUGUAUUAAUGAUAUAUGGAGUACAUUUUAUUUAUAAACUUCCUAUGAAUAUUUUGCAUUUUAAUGACAGUGAUAUCCAUUUUAACCUUGAGGUUAGUAUCAUAUUUUAAUAUUUUGUUUAUUUUACUUUCUCUUUUCAUUUUUCUAAACUUCUACUUUACUUUUACACUCAAUUAUUCUUCAACUUUCUAGUAAUUUAAUAUGUUAACAUGAUUACCUAAUUAAUACUCUCCGUCCCACGAAUCUUGAUGCAUAUUCUUUUUGGACCGUCCACGAAUCUUGAGCAUUUUAAUAUAUAACAAUUGCUAAAAAAUAAAAGUUCUUAAUUAUAAUUAAUUAUCAUUUUUCUACUUUAUUACCUACACACUUCUACUUUAUCAUUUUUCUACUUCAUUACCUACACACUUAAAACACUAAUCUACAACUCUUUAAUUUUCGUGCCGAAAACAAAUGCAUCAAGAUUCGUGGGACGAAGUGAUUACAUACAUUUUAGAAAAUCGACUAAUUAUUUGUUGUCUAUGUGCACCAAAACCUCCUAAAUUCUAUAAAUUUGUAUGCACGUAGUUUUAUCAUAUUAAGAAUUAUGUUCGUUAUUGUAUAUAUUCAAUUUAAUAUUUUUUUUAUUGGACAUUGGAAUAUAUCUUGUGAUUCUUAGUUUGGGCCAAGCCCAAUCCAAAAUUAUACUAUUAAACUGCUUUGACAUGUAUUUUAAUUUUUAUAUUAAUUAUUUAUAUUUUUCUGUAUUUUUUAAUUAAUUUUGGGCUAUUUAUACAUGAACCUUUAAUAAUAGUAUAGUUUGGACUUUUAAGAGCCCAAUAUUGUUAUAUUAAAUGAAGUUUAUUAAUUUUGUUAUAUUUAUGGUUUGGUGUUAUUUGCUUAAAAUGAGAUUGACUUAAAUUUUUUGAUUUUACAAUCUAUAUAUUUAAUUAUUAUUAUACGCAUUUGUAUUAUUAUUAUUAUUAUUAUUAUUAUUAUUAUUAUUAUUAUUAUUAUUAUUAUUAUUAUUAUUAUUAUUAUUAUUAUUAUUAUUAUACAAUACUCAUUAAAUUUAAUAUUAUAGUAUUAUUUAAGUUGUUAAUAUUGUUAUUAUCCGCUAUUUUAAAUCAUAAGUAAUAUUUAAAUUAACAUAACUUUUUUUUAUUACCAAUUAACUUAACCCAAAUGAUGAUAUUUUUAUAUUUUUACAUAAUUUAAAAUUUUAAAAAUAAUAAAUAUAUUGUGAUUUUUGCAUCACACGAGAAUGCAUGCUAGUAUACACAAUGAGUAAGGGGGUUGCACAUGUACACCUUGGAAUUUCAGAAAAAAAGUUGUUGAUAAUUGCAUAGAACACUUUGAGAAACAUUAAUGAAAAUUAGAUAGAUUAUAGCUUGCAUUACGUUAUUCUUUAUACACAAACUCAGCACUGCACAUAUUGUGAGUUUGUUGAGAGGCAAAGCUCUGUAUUUCAAUUAAAUGGGAGCGCCCUUAAUUUGAAAAUUUGAAUGGCGAUGAAUUAAAUUAGCAGUGAUGGAAGUUAAAAGCAUGCGUGUGUUGUGUUGGUAUAAUUUAGUAUGAUGGUGGGAAGUUGCUAACGUGCACGGUGGGCACCGACGUGACAAGUCUCUUGUGAUUGCAUUCAAAGCUUGUCCUUCUUGAUUUACUCCAGAUAUGCUACCACUACCCCUACAACUAGGGAUGUCAAUGGGUGGGUUUUACCCGGACCAGAACCAUUAAAAUUGUUACGGUUCCGGAACCAGAACCGACCCAUUGCUUAAUGGAUCCACACCGGACCAGACCAUUAAGUGAAAAAUUAAUGGGUGUGGGUAGGUUAAUUACCCAUGGGUAUUAUAAGACCCAUAGACCCAAUAAUACCCAUUACCAAACUUAAAAAAGCCCAUGGACUCAUGACCAAGACCCAGCCACCACCACCCCCACCCCCACCCACCCCCACCUCAAAAUUUUUUUUUUUAAUUUUUUUAAAAAUUUUCCUCCCCAAUUCCACCCCCAGCCCCGCCCACCCCCCACCCCACCCCCCCACCCCCUCCCCCCCUCCAAAAAUUUUUUUUUNUAGUUGCAGUACCAAGUUGUAUUAAUGAUAUAUGGAGUACAUUUUAUUUAUAAACUUCCUAUGAAUAUUUUGCAUUUUAAUGACAGUGAUAUCCAUUUUAACCUUGAGGUUAGUAUCAUAUUUUAAUAUUUUGUUUAUAUUACUUUCUCUUUUCAUUUUUCUAAACUUCUACUUUACUUUUACACUCAAUUAUUCUUCAGCUUUCUAGUAAUUUAAUAUGUUAACAUGAUUACCUAAUUAAUACUAUCUCCGUCCCACGAAUCUUGAUGCAUAUUCCUUUUUGGACCGUCCCACGAAUCUUGACGCAUUUCUACAUAUAAUAACAAUUGGCUAAAAAAUAAGAGUUCUUAUCAUUUUUCUACUUUAUUACCUACAGACUUCUACUUUAUCAUUUUUCUACUUUAUUACUUACACAUUUAAAACACUAAUCUACAAUUCCUUAAUUUUCGUGCCGAAAAUAAAUGCAUCAAGAUUCGUGGAACGAAAGAAGUACAUACAUUUUAGAAAAUCGACUGAUUAUUUGUUGUCUGUGUGCACCAAAACCUCCUAAAUUCUCUGAAUUUGUAUGCACGUAGUUUUAUCAUAUUAAGAAUUAUGUUCACUAUUGUAUAUAUUCAAUUUAAUAUUUUUUUGUUGGACAUUGGAAUAUAUCUUGUGAUUCUUAGUUUGGGCCAAGCCCAAUCCAAAAUCAUACUCCCUCCGUCCCAAAUGAAAUGUCCUGUUUUCCUUUUUGGGCUGUCCCAAACGAAAUGUCUUGUUUCCUUUUUUGACAAUACACUCUCACUCUAUACUUAAUAUUUAAAUAAUUUCCACCAACCCACUUUAUCUACUUUCUACACAUUUUUUAAUUUCCGUGCAAAAAAAAAAUAGGAUAUUUUGUUUGGGACGGAGAGAGUACUAUUAAACUGCUUGGACAUGUAUACAUUUGACUAUGUUUUGGAAAUUAGGCUUAUAAUGUAUCGGGGAAAUUAAAAUCUCUCUUUUUAGGCAACCUUUUGGAAAAUUGCUAAUUUCUUGUGGUAAAUGACAUAUAGCUUAUUCUUUCUUACAACUGUAAUCGAUUGAAAACCGAGCUACGUUGCAUGUUUUUUUUGUAAACAUAUUUGUCAUGCGUGAUUAUUUUAAAUUUAAAUAUUUUUAAAUUAGACUUAGUUUUAAAUGCAAUUAUGGAGAAGGACAUUUGGAAUAAUUUUAAUAUACAUUUAUGAAUUAAAAAUUGGGUGUAUAUAUAAAAAUUAGAAUUUAAAAUAUUAUAUAAAUUAUUUAAUUCUCUGUAUAAAUUAUUUAUUUAUUUAUAUAAACAUAUUUGUUGUUGUAUUUUAAUUUUUAUAUUAAUUAUUUACAUUUUUCUUUAUUUUUUAAUUAAUUUUGGGCUAUUUAUACAUGAACCUUUAAUAAUAAUAUAGCUUAGACUUUUAAGAGCCCAAUAUUGUUAUAUUAAAUGAAGGUUAUUAAUUUUGUUAUAUUUAUGGUUUGGUGUUAUUUGCUUAAAAUGAGAUUGACUUAAAUUUUUUGAUUUACAAUCUAUAUAUUUAAUUAUUAUUAAGGGGGUCACACAUGUACACCUUGGAAUUUCAGAAAAAAAGUUGAUAAUUGGAUAGAACACUUUGAGAAACAUUAAUGACAAUCAUCUUACUACAUUUUCAAACAAUUUGCUAGCUAGAUUAUAGCUUGCAUGACCUUAAUUCUUUAUACACAAACUCAGCACUGCACAUAUUGUGAGUUUGUUGAGAGGCAAAGCUCUGUAUUUCAAUUAAAUGGGAGCGCCCUUAAUUUGAAAAUUUGAAUGGCGAUGAAUUAAAUUAGCAGUGAUGGAAGUUAAAAGCAUGCGUGUGUUGUGUUGGUAUAAUUUAGUAUGAUGGUGGGAAGUUGCUAACGUGCACGGUGGGCACCGACGUGACAAGUCUCUUGUGAUUGCAUUCAAAGCUUGUCCUUCUUGAUUUACUCCAGAUAUGCUACCACUACCCCUACAACUACAAUCCACAUUUAUUUUUGUGGAAUUUAACCUUAUUAUUUUUUUUGUAAACAAGAAUGAAGAAAUAUAUUACGAAUUAUCGGACAUUACAAUAUCAAGAAGCCAAUCCGGAAAAUCGGCCUUCCAGAUAAUAACAUCAGAAGAAGCAAAAGAAAACCGAGCAAGCUCAUGAGCCGCACGGUUAGCCUCACGGCGCAUAUGGAUAAAAUCCAAAACGACAUGAUGGCGAGCAUGAGUAAACACUUCCCAUAAAUCAUCACAAAGAGAGUCAGUCCCUUGAUUUUUAUCUGAAAGAACGUGCACAGCAGUGAGCGAGUCAGAAAAAACCACCAUUGGGCCGAAGUCAUUUUCCAAACAGGUGCCAACUGCAAGCAAGAGGGCGUGGAGCUCUCCCAGUAGAACUGUCUCUGUAAACCCAAAAGUUUGACAACCGGCCAAGAUAAUCUUCCCAUGGCAGUCCCGAAUAAUAAAACCCAUCCCGGAACGCAAACUAUCCUCCCGAAAGGCGACAUCAACAUCAAGACGGAGGACACCCUCCGGAGGCGGGUACCACUGCCUCGAUCCCUCAUCGGGAAGGAUCUUGUUCUCAAGAAGGACCUGGGAUCUGGCUGAAUGAUAGGACUCCAACAAACGAUCACCAACGCAUAGAUUCAAUUCAGCAUCCUCAGAUUUUGCGCCGUGUUUCUUGUCACAUAAGAACUUCCAAACAAGCCAAAGGAAAAAAAACCAUCUUUGUGAACCAUUCUUGCCUUUUUCCUUGUGCACCACCUGGGAAAGAUCCAGCAAAUUCAGAGAUUUAUGCGGCUGGAUAACCUCCCAAAGAUCAGUAUCUUUCCAUGCACUCUUGACCUCAUCGCACCAAAUCAGCCCAUGUACCGUAGUUCCCCACUCUCUUUUACACCAAUGGCAAAUAGGAAGAGAAGGCACGUGAUGCAUCGCCAAAUUGGCAUUCAUGGCUAUCAUAUCGUGUGUAGCUCUCCAGGCAAAGUGGUGAAUCUUCGGUGGCACAUGAAGAGACCAGAAAAUCUUCCACCAUUUUUUCAUAUGAUUCGAUGAAGUCUCUGUUGGCGGAUCGUAGAAGCCCGUGGCACAAAGGUAGCCCGACUUCACACUGUAAAGCCCCUUCUCGUCAUGAUUCCAGAACCGAGAGUCCAUUUUAUCAUCAUUCGGUAAUUCAAUCGAACAGAUGGCCUGCACUAAAAAAUCAGGAAACAAAGCUGCCAACUUAUCACGAUCCCAGGCUUUCGGUUCUGAAAUAAAAUCUGCCACACGUAGAACAUCAGCCCCCUCAAACGAGCCCACACUAUCUGCUAAAAAAUUGCAUCCCGGAAUCCAUUUAUCGUUAAAAGCAAGCACCCUCUCACCAUUCCCCACUUUCCAUCUCAACCCCUUAUCAAGCAAUUCUCUUCCCCAACAUAAGGACCGCCAAACAAACGAACAAUUAGAGGUGAUACUAGCUUUCAUAAUGUCACAAUCACGAUAGUACCUUUGCUUCAGAACACGGGCGAGCAGAGACUCCGGGUGUUUAAUAAGUCGCCAAAUCUGUUUGGCAAGAAGAGCUUGAUUAAAUUCUACAAAACGCCGAAAGCCAAGGCCUCCUUCAGAUUUCGCAGCACAAAGCUUCUCCCAACGAGCCCAAUGAAGCUUUUUUCUUUUAGCAUUAUCUCCCCACCAAAACUGAGCACAAGCUUUCUCUAAAUCAGCACAAACACCCACCGGGAGACGAAAACAAGCCAUAGCAUAAGUUGGGAUGGAUUGAAUGACCGAUUUGAUCAACGUUUCCUUUCCCCCAGCAGAGAAAAGUUUAGCAUCCCAUCCCUCAAACUUCUUCACGACCCAAUCUCUCAAGUACUCGAAGUGAAUCUUUUUUUGCCUUGGAAUAAAAGUUGGCAGCCCCAGAUAGACCGCGUGACCUGCCGUUUCUCGAAUACCCAGAACAGUUGUAAUAGUAUCAAUAGAAGUCGCCUGCAUAUUGGGACUAAAGCAUAUAGUUGAUUUGUCAAGAUUGAUGGUUUGGCCAGAAGCCUUUUCAUACUUCUUAAAAACCUCACUCAAACUGUUAGCACCCAAAACAUUAGCUCGGAAAAAGAUAAGACUAUCGUCCGCGAAAAAGAGAUUAAUGAUCGAAGGACAAUGUCGAGCCAUAGUAAUCCCACUAAUCAAACCUUGAUUUUCAUAGCUUUUAAGGAGAUAAGAAAACCCUUGCGCACAAAUCACAAAUAAGAACGGAGAAAGUGGGCAUCCUUGUCGUAGCCCACGAGAUGGAAUAAGUGAGCCAAAAACUUUACAAUUGAUAAUAAAGGAGAAUUCCACCGUGCUCACGCACUGCAUAAUCAAAUCGAUCAAGUGAGGUGGAAAUCUCAAAACGCCCAUCAUCGCCUGUAAGAAUCGCCACUCCACUCUGUCAAAGGCCUUGGACAUGUCAAUUUUAGCAGCCGCGUAACCUUCAUCCCCUUUCUUUUUGUUUCGAAGCCAGUGUAAACAUUCAUAUCCAAGAAUGAUAUUAUCAGAUAUCAAACGGCCUGGGACAAAAGCACUUUGAGAAUCAUCAAUCACCCACCUCAACACUCCACGCAGCCUGUUAGCAAGCACCUUCGCCACCAGUUUAUAAGAGGUAUUGCAUAAACUGAUAGGCCUAAAAAACUUCAUCUCUUUCGGCGCUUUAGUCUUUGGGAUAAGAACAAUAUGAGUUUUAUUCCACUGUUUGAUGUUGUCUUUCCCAUUGAGAAUCCGAAGCACGUCCGUGGUAACCGCAUCACCUAUUUCUCCCCAAAACUUAUGGAAGAAAAAAGGUGGAAAGCCGUCCGGGCCAGGAGCUUUGUGUGGGUGCAUUUGGAACAUAGCUUUUCGAACUUCCUCAGAUGAAAAAGGUAUUAACAAAUCGGCACGCGGAUUGUCACCCAGAAAUCUCGGACAAGUAUUUGCGACUUCGUCAAUACAGCUCAGGGGAGGCGAGCUGGAAGAAAACAGCUGGGCGAAAUAAUCCUCAACAAUAAUCGCCAUUUCAUCUUCCUUAACCACUUCGGUCCCGUCAUCCUUCAAAAGACAUUUAAUCUUGUUCUUUUUAUGCCGCUUAUUUGCAAAGGCAUGAAAGAACUUCGUGUUGCGAUCACCCAAACCCAGCCAGUUGGCUCGCGAUCUUUGUUUCCAGUGAAGUUCAUCUGCCUCCAUUAAUUUCUCAAUCUCUUUCGUAAGCUUUGUUAAAUCAGCAUGAAAAUUCUUUGUACUGACUCUAAACUUUAGAAGAGCUGCCCUCUUAUCUUUCAGUGCUUUGAGCUUCUUUGAGAUCUUGUCAAAGUUAUGUGUUGCCCAAGAUUCCAGAAAACGUUGACAGCCUUUGAGACGGUCAUGGAGGGCUUGACCCCCAUGCAAACCCCACUCUGUUAAGAGAUCCGCAGCAAAAUGUUUAUCCAAGAGCCAUUUUUGUUCAAAGAAAAACCUUUUAAAACCUUUCCCCGGCACCAAUUUAUCAGCUCUAACCGAGAAGGAUAGAAGGAGCGGAUUAUGAUCUGAGCAGUGUGGAUCCAGCGCACAAACGGUGCUCAGAGUGAACUUGUCUUCCAUCAAACGAUUACACAGGAAACGAUCUAAUUUCAGGAAACGGGCGUCAGCCUUCUGCCUCUGGUUGUACCAUGUAAAGUUGGAAUCACAUGGCACGGACUUAAAACCGCAAUACUGAAUAGCGUUAUUGAACUCGCUCAUUUGCGCCCAUGACCGUCGACACCGGUAACAACAAUCUUCAGUUUUUGUAACUUCGUUGAAAUCACCACCCAUCAACCACGGAGCAUCCAUAAUACCACUGCAAGCGAGCUUUUUCAUGAGAGACCAUGAAUGUUUCCUGUUUUGGACUUCCGGGUUGCCGUAAAACCCUGUAAACCGCCGCACCACAUCAUUGUAUUCAACAACACAAUCAAUAUGUCCUUGAGAGAAGCUACUAAUAGAAACAGAGCAAGGAUGUUUCCAAAACAAAAUAAGGCCCCCACUAGCGCCUUUAGAAUCUACAACGAAUUGCCCAUCAAAAUGUAAAGAAGAUCUCCACCAGUUGGCCUUACAAGCAUUAACCUUUGUCUCGCAGAUGAACAACAGACAUGGGGAGUAGCCGGAGACAAGUCGGCGUAACUCAUGGAAUGCUCGGGAGCUCCCCAACCCCCGAGCAUUCCAGCAUAUAACAUUCAUGGCGAUCGGCGGGGCUGCUCGGCAGCCGCCGCCGUUGAAUCAUCACUCAAGUCGUUCACAUCCUGGGACAUUAAACUUGAAAUAGUAGUUUUUGUUUUUUUCGACCACCUGGCCCAAUAACUGUUCCUUGUCGCUUUGUACCAGUAUUUCCAUCAGUAUUUUCUACCUCUUUGGUGCUGACAGGUCUAGAAGUACUGCUCGAGGUUCUCGCCAUUCUCUUCCAUCCUUUUCCAUGUGGGUUAGAUUUAGCUUUUGCCGGAGAAAGAGUUGUAUGAUUUCCUGCCAUUCGUUCCUUUUUCCUUUGAGUCCCAACCUCUGAGUUCCCCAAUGAUGUAGAAGUAUGCUCUUUAUUCCCCACAUCCGCAUUCGACUUAUCAAAAGAGGUAAGCAAAGCCGUUUCAGUCGCCUCAUCUAAAAUCGCCAUAUCUACGCUCUGUAUUUCCAAAGAAACCUUCUCCACCACCAUAUCCUCCAAACUCUCAUUCAAUGUCUCUUUCUUUCCAUCUACCUCCUCUUUAUUCCCUCUGUGAUCAGUAGUAGUAGUGUCUUUCUUUCCUUCUAGAGCAGCAAGUUUCUGGGGUUGAGGCCCUGGGACAUCGCCUCGCGGCGGGGGCGUAGGUCCAAGUUUAUUUCUGACGGGAAAGCCAGGAGGGGCACCCAAAGUAGUCUGAGAACUCAAAGUGGGAAAUGUAUUUCGUCGAUAAUCAUUCCCACGUCCCGCUUUAAGCCAAUUACCGAAACUAGGAUUGAUUUUCUUCUCUUCGUCCACAUCACAUGCUCUCAUGUAAUGUCCCAAUUUCCCACAAGCGAAAAAGAAAUGGUCUGGUAGCUUCUCAUAAAGAACCAAAAUAAUCUCUUUCGUAUCACUACCUUCGAUCUGUAAGGGGACACAUUUAACCAAUGGUUCAUCAAUAGACCGAUACACUUUAACACGGGCAUAGCGUCCCACAUAUGAACUGCCCUGAUUAUCAUCAAUUUCCCUCACACUUCCUACUUGCUCCCCAAUCCGACGAAUAAUAUGAUGAUCCAUAUAUGCAAUUGGCAAAUUGUGAAGUUGAAUCCAUAUCGAGAUAUGAUCAAACUUAGUAUUGAGCGCCGAAUUAGCAGCAUCAGCUUUUUGGAGUAUCAUAAGUUCAUUGAAAAAGUGCCAUGGUCCUUCCGAAACCAUACGUUCUCUGUCGACUUCCAAGUCCACAACUAUCGCAAAAAUAUUCCUUCCGAUAAUUUCAAAUUCCAUAGUACCUUUGGGCUUUAGAAGAUUGGGAAGAUGGUCUUUUAGAGUGUCACGAUUAACAACUCUAUUUGAAAAAAUUUUGCCCAGGAUCAUCUUCUCCACUUUAAUUUGAGCCCUAGCCUGAUCAGAAGCUGUAAUUGCAACGGCUUUAGAACUUCCAGAAUUGAUAACCGUAACUCCGCUACACGUCUCGCAACUUCGUCCGGAUCCAUGAUGCGAGAAAAACAAGAAAACAAGAAAAGCAGCAAACUCAACUGUAAAUUGAGAUGAAAACACCUUCCUCGAGGAAGGAAGAAGACACCGCCCCUGAGAAACGCCCAAGUCAGACUAGGGUUAGAUCAGAGCGAAAAAAUACUGAAACCACUUACAUUUAUUCCUACUUACAUUUAUUCUUUUGAGAGCUCGAAAUUCCUACUUACAUUUAUUCUUUUGUUUGCUUUCACUUUAAAUGACCAAUUCGUGAGCAUCUUCCAAAAAUGCAUUUUGAAAAAUACGUCAAUUUUUAAUAGCGGCUGUAGUUUUAUUAUAGGGAAUUGUUAAUUAGUGCACUCACUUUUAUCAAUUACUCCAUAUAAUUGCAACACUACAAUUUUGGUAGUAAAGAAGUUGGUAUGUCGAACAUUAUAUUAAUCGAAGUGAAAAUAAUGACAGCGUGCAGUUGCACUUUGACAUCACCGGCGCCGGUGAGACAUGACAUAGCUACUAUUUGGUGACCACAAAAAAUUGAAAGGUAUUAUUUUACAACAAAUUAAACAACAAUAAUAUUAUUGCAAUGUUUCAAGGUUGUGUUGAAAUUGUGAUAAAAGUCUAGAUUUGUAUACUAAUUGACUAUCAACCUUUUCUUAAAUAACACUUUUUAGGAAUAUUAAAUACUAGGUUCGUUUCUUAUAAGUUAUAAGUGUCUUGUUUGUUUUGGACACAGUUAUUUAGGAAGAAGUUAAUUGGAUUAUUAAAUGAUGUGAUGUAGACUCUAAAAUUCUUAUUUUUUUAAGACUAAUUUUUUCAUAAAAGAAUAUAUGAUAUUUGAAUUGGGACAAAAAGAAACAUGUGCACGUGGUUUCAAANAAAAAAAAUACUUGAAAUGGGACGAAAGGAGUAAUACUCUUAAAAUAUUGAUGAGAAUUAAAUUGAAUCAAGUUUUGAUUUGAAGUAUGAUCAAGGACAUUAUAACUAAUGAAACUUCAAGACACAACUAUAUGUGAUUAGUCUUAUAUAUAGUAUGUAUAUAAAUAUAUACAUACAUAAAUUUGAUAACUUGAAUGCAUAUUUAAAACAUAGAAUAUAAUCCGUUUUUUUUUUAAACCAUAGAAUAUAAGAGGAGUGAUAAGUAAAAACAAGAAAAUUACUAGUAUUUAUACUCAAGUUUCUCUUGGCAUAUUAUACACGCGCAGUAAUAGUGGAUGACUAUCACAUUUUGCAAGUGGCUAAAAUUUGAGAAAAUAAGUUAAAUCUAAGAGAAUAAAAAAAUAAAUAAAUAAACAAGGUGAUGUAAAAGUUGGAUGCAAAAAUUCCAAAGUUCUUUGGAUAAAGUUGAAUACAAAUUCCAACUUGGAAAUGAUUAAAAAAACUGACGAAGUGCCGACCCAGAGACUUUAGUAUUAUGAUAUUUUUGAACCAGUUAAAUAAUGAUAUCCAAAAAAUAAGUAAAAGAGUAUUAAAAAAAAAGUCGCAUGCAAUAUUACAAUUUUUACUAUCUCUAUAAAUGAACAUGUAAUAACUAAUCCAUAACUCGUCAUAUUUGAUGAGAACUCGUUUGAAUAAUAAAGAGGUAAUUAUAUUUUAAUAAUAUUGAUCGUGGUAGAAUAUCACAUUAAUUUUUUUUGAUAAAUUUAUAAUAUUAAAUAAAAAAAUUAAAAAAGGCCGCGCCACAGGGAAACAUCACAUUAACUAGAAUAAUAAGACUAGUAUAAUUCAAUUAUUCAAAGUCGUUUACAAUUUAAACAUGUGCACAUGGUUCACGUUUAACAAUAUUCACUAAUUAUUUGAAUUUAUUUGUAUUUAUUUAUUAAUAUAAUUUGUUGGGAUAAUUGGACAUUUUCCACAAUAACAAUUAAACAUUAUAAAGUAAAUAUUAAUAAUAAAUAAACAUAUAACAAAAAGUUUAAAAUUAAAAAUUAAAGAAAAAUCAUGGAGGCAUGUCAAUUAAUGUUUAGAUCCGUUUUGAAAAUGAUUUUAAUGCUCAUUCUCGUCCCAAAUCCUCUGGAGUAUGGAAAAAUGGUGUGGUCAACACUAUAUUUAAUUAUAUUUUUUUUACUCAAAAUAGAAAACGAGCCUAUUCUAACGAAAUGUUCGAAAAUGGAAACAAACUUAUUUUAAUGGGAUAUGAAAAAUAUUAUUUUCUUGAUAUUUUAUUAAUUUAGGACUUGAAAUAAACUCUGUAUGUAGGGUUUGAAUAAUUGAAACACUUAUUUAAGGUUUGAAAUUGAAAGUAGUAUCUUAAUUUUUGUUAUUCUCAUUAAAUGUUUUUAAAUUAGAAAACUACAUGUCAACUAAAAAGAAUCAAAUAUGGGCUGUUGAGUCUUAGAAUGAUUCUUCACCCCUCGAUAUCCCACGGGCUCGUUUGAUACAAGGUAUGAAAUAAGGUGCGAUAUGUUUGAUUGAGAUAUUUUUUUUAUAUUAAUAUCAUGUUUAAUACUCCCUCCGUCCCAGCUUUUAGUAUCCAACUUUCCUUUUUUUGUCGUCCCACAUUUUAGUAUCCAUUUCUAUUUUUAGUAAAAGCAGGUGGGGCCCUUACUCUACUUUAAUUAUUUUAACUCUCACAUAAAAUGUGGACCCUUAUUCCACUCACAACACAUCAAUCACUUUAUUAAAAUCCAUGCCGUUCUCAACUGGAUACCAAAAGCCGGGACGGAGGGAGUAAAAUAUAUUAAAAUAUUCGUAAAAUAUAAUAUAUUGUUUGAUAUGAUGUAUUAAAAUUAUAUAAAAUUAUUGUUAAUAAUCAUAAUUAAAAUUUGGGGUAAAUAUCACAAAAACCCCUGAAGUAUACCCGCUUUAUCAAAAAUACCCUGAAACUUUCAAAAUGUUCUCUAAACCCUCAAACUAUUAGAUUUUUAUCAAACAUAUCCCGCAUUUAUUUUCCGAUCACCAAAAACGUGAUGUGGCUCGCCGGAUGCCACAAUGUAAUUUAUAUUCUUUUUUUUUAAAUGCAAUGGAAAAAACGACUUCAUUUCGUACCAUAUUAUUUUAAAAAAAAAUCACUCUGAAAUUUAAAAUUGACUCCUAUCGUGUUUGANGGCAUAGUUUCACUUUGACAGGAAAGGGGAGGCGGCAGCAGCUUUGGGUUCGUAUUUUUAGGGCAACUGAUUUUGGGAAAGGAGAUAAUCGAAAAUUAAUGAUGGGGUCUCAAUGGAAAUUCAAAAAAUUCUAACGACGACGGGAUCUCAACGGACUUUAAUUUUUUUUUUAAUUCAUAUUUCUCGACAGGCUUACAACGAGAACCAAAUUUUAAAAAUAAUAUUUUAAAACAUUAAAAGAUUACAACACCAAAUUUUGAAAAUAAUAUUUUAAAAAAUUAAAAGAUUACGACAGGUUGAAGAUGGAUUAACGACUGUUUUUAAAGGAGUAAUGCUAAACAGCCACAUUGUGGUCACCACAAUUUAUCUAAAUAGAAAAUAAUUAAUUUUAUUAACUUAUUUUUUAAAAUAAAAAUAAGAUUGAGUUAUUUUAUCAUAUUCUCUACAUAAUAGUUAUUUUUUUUUACAAUUUUUUGCUAAACUUUUUUAUUUUUAAUUAAAAAAAUAAAUUAAAAAUAAAAAAUGCAAAAAAAUUAAAAAAAUAAGUACAAUGUAUAUAAUAUAAUAAAAUAACUAAAUCCUAUUUUUAUUUUAAAAAAUAAAUUAAAUAAAUCAAAAUUGUCCUUAUUAUAUUAGUGUGUGGGUGGCCACAAUGUGGUUGCAUAGAUUUAUUGAUUUUUAAUAGCGGCUGUAGUUUUAUUAUAGGGAAUUGUUAAUUAGUGCACUCACUUUUAUCAAUUACUCCAUAUAAUUGCAACACUACAAUUUUGGUAGUAAAGAAGUUGGUAUGUCGAACAUUAUAUUAAUCGAAGUGAAAAUAAUGACACCGGGCAGUUGGACUUUGACAUCACCGGCGCCGGUGAGACAUGACAUAGCUACUAUUUGGUGACCAAAAAAAUUUGGAAGGUAUUAUUUUACAACAAAUUAAACAACAAUAAUAUUAUUGCAAUGUUUCAAGGUUGUGUUGAAAUUGUGAUAAAAGUUAGAUUUGUAUACUAAUUGACUAUCAACCUUUUCUUAAAUAACACUUUUUAGGAAUAUUAAAUACUAGGUUCGUUUCUUAUAAGUUUAAGUGUCUUGUUUGUUUUGGACACAGUUAUUUAGGAAGAAGUUAAUUGGAUUAUUAAAUGAUGUGAUGUAGACUCUAAAAUUCUUAUUUUUUUAAAGACUAAUUUUUCCAUAAAAGAAUAUAUGAUAUUUGAAUUGGGACAAAAGAAACAUGUGCACGUGGUUUCAAAAAAAAAAAUACACUUGAAAUGGGACGAAAGGAGUAAUACUCUUAAAAUAUUGAUGAGAAUUAAAUUGAAUCAAGUUUUGAUUUGAAGUAUGAUCAAGGACAUUAUAACUAAUGAAACUUCAAGACACAACUAUAUGUGAUUAGUCUUAUAUAUAGUAUGUAUAUAAAUAUAUACAUACAUAAAUUUGAUAACUUGAAUGCAUAUUUAAAAACCAUAGAAUAUAAUCCCGUUUUUUUUAAAAAAAAACCAUAGAAUAUAAGAGGAGUGAUAAGUAAAAAACAAGAAAAUUACUAGUAUUUAUACUCAAGUUUCUCUUGGCAUAUUAUACACGCGCAGUAAUAGUGGAUGACUAUCACAUUUUGCAAGUGGCUAAAAUUUGAGAAAAUAAGUUAAAUCUAAGAGAAUAAAAAAAUAAAUAAAUAAACAAGGUGAUGUAAAAGUUGGAUGCAAAAAUUCCAAAGUUCUUUGGAUAAAGUUGAAUACAAAUUCCAACUUGGAAAUGAUUAAAAAAACUGACGAAGUGCCGACCCAGAGACUUUAGUAUUAUGAUAUUUUUGAACCAGUUAAAUAAUGAUAUCCAAAAAAUAAGUAAAAGAGUAUUAAAAAAAAAAUCGCAUGCAAUAUUACAAUUUUUACUAUCUCUAUAAAUGACAUGUAAUAACUAAUCCAUAACUCGUCAUAUUUGAUGAGAACUCGUUUGAAUAAUAAAGAGGUAAUUAUAUUUUAAUAAUAUUGAUCGUGGUAGAACAUCACAUUAAUUUUUUUUGAUAAAUUUAUAAUAUUAAAUAAAAAAAUUAAAAAAGGCCGCGCCACAGGGAAACAUCACAUUAACUAGAAUAAUAAGACUAGUAUAAUUCAAUUAUUCAAAGUCGUUUACAAUUUAAACAUGUGCACAUGGUUCACGUUUAACAAUAUUCACUAAUUAUUUGAAUUUAUUUGUAUUUAUUUAUUAAUAUAAUUUGUUGGGAUAAUUGGACAUUUUCCACAAUAACAAUUAAACAUUAUAAAGUAAAUAUUAAUAAUAAAUAAACAUUGAUGAAGCAUCAUAUCAACACCUAAUCUAGAAAGCAAUAUACGGCACAUGGAUUUACGUGGUUCGGUCGUCAAGACCUACAUCCACAGGAGUUCUUCGUUGGUUUCAUUAUAUUGAGAGUGUUUACAUAUUACAAGUGUAUUGCUCGAAUGAAUUGAUCCUCUUUUCAUGAUAAUGCUAAACCUUCUAUUUAUAGAUAAUUAAUUGAGCCUAAACCUAAAGCCCACGAAACAGAGAAAUGGAGCCGAACUCGGUGGUAAAGUUAGCUCUGGCAAGGUUGUCUCUGGUAGCUCUGCGCUCUGGCAGGGCUGUCUCUGGCAGCUCUGCUCUGUCAUGUUGUCUCUGUCUCUGUCUCUGGCAGGGCGGGGUAGCUCUACUCUGGCGGCGGGUAGCUCUGUUCUGGCAGGGGCGGAUAGCUCUGCUCUGUCAUGUUGUCUCUAUCUCUGUCUUUGGCAGGGCGGGGUAGCUCUGCUCUGGCAUGUCGGGUAGCUCUGCUCUGCUCCUCGGCAGAGUUGUGGUAUGCUCUGCUCUGCUCCUCGGCAGAGAUGUCUCUGGUAUUGCUAAGUACAGCAUUGAUGCAGAGUUUACUCCUCAUCAAACAUAUAACAAAAAGUUUAAAAUUAAAAAUUAAAGAAAAAUCAUGAAGGCAUGAAUUAAUGUUUAGAUCCAUUUUGAAAAUGAUUUUAAUACUCAUUCUCGUCCCAAAUCCUCUGGAGUAUGGAAAAGUGGUGUGGUCAACACUAUAAUUAAUUAUAAUUUUUUUUACUCAAAAUAGAAAACGAGCCUAUUCUAAUGGAACAUUCGAAAAUGGAAACGAACUCAUUCUAAUGGGAUAUGAAAAAUAUUAUUUUCUUGAUAUUUUAGGACAUGAAAUAAACUCUGGAUGUAGGGUUUGAAUAAUUGAAACACUUAUUUAAGGUUUGAAAUUGAAAGUAGUAUCUUAAUUUUUGUUAUUCUCAUUAAAUGUUUUUAAAUUAGAAAACUACAUGUCAACUAAAAAGAAUCAAAUAUGGGCUGUUGAGUCUUAGAAUGAUUCUUCACCCCUUGAUAUAGUAUUUUCCUAUUGAUAGUUCCACUAAUCGAUUUUUUUUACUUUUCCAUUUUUACAAAAUCAUCAAAUCGCCGGUAUUCUUCUUUUAAAAGGGGAUCAAAUAGUCGGUAUUUUGUACAAAUCAUUAUUCAAAAGCUCUGGUCAUCAAAUCGAGUGGCAUGAAAACUAAGUUAUCGAGAUUUUGAGCUGGAAAUUAAGAAAGUCCAGCCCCCACCAACCCCUUUUUUUUAUGCCGACGUCCCUAUCUGCAUCUAUAGUCUAUAUAAAUACCAUGCCUAUUAUUUCUACAAAUUUAUACUGAUUCAACAUAAUUCAGUAAACAACAAAAAAAUUCCACAGGAGAAUACUAAUUGCACAGCCGUGGUACAUGUACAUGGGCUUCUCCAUUAAAAAUGUCUGUUGUUUACACCUUUUUUUCUCCAUCCAAAUCCAAAAAGAAAAUAACAAAGGGACCCCUACCAUUCAACUUGAAGAUUUGGCCUUUUGGUAGCACUCAAUUCCCAAAAAUGACAAAACAUCAUCUUCUGCUCCCAAUUAUUGAUUACUACUAAACUAAUCACUCAUUGCAGAAUAUGGUACUAAACAAUGCAAUUAAAUGAAAACGGAUCCCCAUUAUUCAAAAACCAAGAAAAGAUUCUCUCUCCCACGAACCCAAAAUCUGUGUAGUAAUAAUCAAAACUAAUUCGUGAAGAUAAAAAUAAAAAUAAAGGUCCAAGAUUUCGCCACCCAUAAUUAUGGUUUGCGUGAAUCUCAGGUCACUCAUUAAAACCCAAUCUACAAUGCCGGUGACCCUUAACUGAAAAUCGUUCACCAGUCUCUCUCACUUUCUUGCUUUCUUCACAUACACAGAGGUGUGUGUGUUUCAAGAAUUGAUUCUGGGCAUCAUUUCUUGCCGUUUUUUGAUAGCUUCGAAAAAUGGUUUCUACGCAGCGCUGAGAAAGAUCGGAGGCCCUACAGGUAUCAACCGCAAAGAUUCUCUCUCUCUCUCUCUCUCAGAGGAAGCAGUAAGUUUUUUUUAGUUGAGUUUUGACAUUAUUCGAAAGCAUCAAAAAUCUGAAUUACAAGAUUUAAAUAAAGCUUUGUCCUUGUCUCUUUCUUCCAUGUAUGGACGGCAGCUUAUUUAUCACUCUUUACAGUGUUGCAAGAUGUGAGUUUCACUUCCACAUGUCAAUUCUUGCAUUCGGCUAAGAAGUUUGACUCUUUCAAUCUCACAAAAUUGUAGCUCAGAAAUAUGCCUCAAGACAGCCUAAGAUCCGUUGUUUACCGAUCCUUCGUCACGUGUGACGACCCCAAAGGCGUGGCCGACUGUAAUAAGACGAUCAGAAAAUCCAAGAAAACCCAACAAAAAAUCAAGAAAACGUCACCACACGGCGAGGAGGAGUUGUGUUUUCAAGUGAUGGAGGUCUCCCGAGGCGCAGAGAGGCUCAACCAAGUGGCGGAUAGGCCUUCGUCGGAGCACAUCGCCACCGACUUGUUGAGAGGCGCUCUGCAUCUGCGCCACUCUCUAGUCAUGCUCGGAAAAUUGCACAAGGCCUCCGACUUCAUCGCCACCAAGCAUAAGGAGAAGAGGCCUCUUGAUUUAGCAGUCAAUGGUGGUGGUGGUGAUGAUGAUAAACCCAGAGUCUCUGCAUCCAGAGAUUGCUAUGAUGAGCUGAGGGAAGUGAUAAGGGAGAGCUUCGCUAGGCAGAAUCUGUUGCCUAAAGAGAAACUAGUUUGUGAUGUUGACAGGAAGCACUCUGAGUUGUGUGUGGACUUGCCGUCUUCUAGCUCCAGCCAGGCCUCGUCAUCGUCGUUGCUCCUCUCCCGUUCCUCGGGGUGCUCGCCAUCCUACAGCGUUCGGCAUGAGAGGACCAAGCAGGGCUCCUCCAACUUGAUCGCCAAGCUCAUGGGGCUGGAGGAGGUGCCUUAUGCAGCUAGGGAGGAGGGGAUUCCAUUUAGGAGGAGCCCUUUGCUUGAUAUUGAUCUGCCCAGGCCUAACAAGCCUCAAUUCAUGGUGCAGAAGACAGUUAGAGAGAGAAGAACGUUGGAAGAGAUCAUUGAGACAAUGCAGUUUAAAGGGAUUUUGGGGAGAAAGUCUGUAGAUGGAUCUAAUGCAUUGUUCUUGAGGAAAGACUUGGCUGCUAAUAGCCCACCUAUUGUGAUCAUGAAGCCUCUUCAUGAUCACUGCAGCAAUGGAGGGGAGCACAUGAUCAAGAGUAAGCAAAUGCCAAGAAAGAUGAGGGAAGAAGAGCUUCCACCUACACCACAGUUGAAGGAUUCUGCAGCAGACCGAUCUUCAAAACAGAAGCUCGAUAGAAGCAAGGAAGGGAAAGUUCGAGUGAGGCCGCCAGUCAAGAAAGCAGCACUAGAUAGCCUGUCUACGACGAAGAUGAAACAACCAAAGCCUCCGCUUCCACAAAUGCAGAAGAAAGAAGCUCCUAGAAUAAGGAAACCUGCAGAUGCUAAGCCUCAAAUUAAGCCUAAUAAAACUCAAGACUUGGCCAAACUUGCCACAUUGAAGCAUACCAAGACUGUGAGAGGAAACAAUGUCUCUAAAACUCAGGUUGCAAGAGGAAAGGUUGCGGCCGUGGAUAAAGGCAUGAAACCAACGUCUCUUAGUCGAACUGUAACAAAGAAGAGUCAUCGCAGAGGUGAAUCCAACAGCAAGCCCUCAUCACCUCUAGUAAGUUUUAGUGAUGAUCAUCAUUCUAUCUUAGCAUUUAGGUAGUUAUAUCAAUGAAGUUUUGUAGUCUGCAUAGUAGAAGUAUCUAGUCACCAUCUUAGCUAUGCUAUUCUUCUUGAAAAUAUACUAAGCUAACAUCAUGAAUAAAUGCAGGUUGAAAAUGCACAAAGUAAAGGCAAUGCAAUCAGUAUUGAAACUAAGUCUUUGGUGAAGAAUACAAAACCAGAACAAACUACUGGGGAGGUGGCUAAAGCUUAUUAUAUGCCUGGUAAAUUACUAAAUCCAAUCAAUGGAACUUUUCUUAAUGCUUUUUUGUUUCUACUAGAAAUGUUUAUUAUAUUCUAGAGGACUAUCUUUGCUUAUUUUGAAAAUCAUAGUAUGCUAUCUGUUGUACAAGUAACUAUCAUAUCCUUCAAAAAAUUGUGUAAAUCUGUCUGUCAUUCUAUUCAUGCACAAAACUCAUGGAUUUCUUCUCAAAAUUCACUUCUGAAUUUCUUCAGAUGCAGUGAAAAUAUGAAAUCCAUAUGUGGUUUUCUCUCUCUAUGUGUGACAGAAAGUAGCAACUCUGUAUUGCAAUGAUUUUUCUGAUGCAUCUAAAACUCAAUAGGUUUGUAUGAUAAUUCUCUAUUUCAAAACAGAUAAUUCAACGAAUGCAGCAACUUCUCCUAGUGAUGCUUCGGGGCUAAUAACCAAGGAUGAUCCUGAUCACAUUGAAGACGACAGUUGCGUUCCAAGUCUUGAUUCAGAUGAGAUCAAAGGCUGCAAAAGCAUGAUGAACUCAAGAUAUUUACUCCUAACCAGUGCUUCAUUUCUCAAUCAUAUAGAGGAGCUCUUCGACACAGGGACUCAUGACUCUACGAUCUUCCAAACAGAUAGCGAGUUGCUUCAUGAUUCACUUCUCCUCGACUGUGCAAAAGAGAUACUGGAGCGUAAGAGCCUGAGUAACAGGAGCACGAGAAAUCCGUGGUCACAAAACCUCUUGAGAAGGCCAAAAUACCAUCUAUCUAUGGAGCAGUUGGUAGAGGAGAUUUCUGAUACCAUUGAAGAUCUGCAAAACUACAGUAAAUAUUGUGGCGAUGUAGUUGUUGCAGACAGCAUAUACCCGAUGCUGGACAGAGACCUAAGGCGGAACGAGGAGGUGACGGGGGCUUGGGAUUCGGGUUGGAGGAAGGGAUAUGCAAUGGAAGCAGUUGAUGAAGUGAUGCAUGAUUUAGAAGAGCACGUUUUGAGUGAAAUAGUAGCUGAUGUGAUUAUACAAAUUAUGUAAUAACUUUAUAGAGUUUUUUGGUCUUAAAUUUUUCAUCAGAUUAUAAUCUGUAUAUAUCCAGACACAACAUUUAGAUGUAGAGAGUUCUGUUGUACUAACUGCUUCAUUCAUUCUACAAUUGAUAACACACUUUGGUCACUCCGAUUUCCUUUAUUUCAAUACUCUUAAUUCUGAGCAAAUCAAAAAAUUCCUAACAAUCUUGCACCUUAAUUUCUUGAUCUUGCACCUUAGUUUUUUAAUUAAAUUUUAAAAACUAAUUACUCUCUCCCUUCCAUUAUCAUUGUCUCAUUUGCCAUUUUGAAUUGUCUCAUCUCCAUAAAAGACAAUGACUAAUCCUUAAAGAAGUGUGAAUUCUACCAUUUUCAACCAGUUUACUGAUUCGUAAUUAUUGUGCCCAAAAAAUUUGGAUCAAUAAUAAUGGAACGAUAUGAGUAUUAAAUUUAAGGUUCAUAAAUUUCAUUUAGAGAUUUAAUAAAUUGUAAAUGCGAUUGAUAAACUCAAACUGGAAAUUAUUAAACCAUGAUUAAAACUCUAAUUAAUCCAUAAUUUGUCAUUAACUAUCAAUUACUAUUAUUAAUUGUAAUUCAUUAAUAAUUAAUUAAUGCUAAUAAUUAACUAAUGAUUGCCUUGCCGACGGCCGCACGAUGGUUUUGGAGUUUAUAUAUAUUAUCUCUACAAGCUACGUAUUAUUGUAUCGUAACUGCACACCUAUCUUACAUGUACUAUUUCAGAAUAAUAUCUUUACAUGUACUAUUUAUUACUAUAUAUUUUACUAAUUGCUAAUAUAUUUAAAACAUAUACUAACAAUUCAAAUUUUAUAAACAUUAUAUUUUAUUAACUACGGUAUCAUAUUAUAUUAGAAAAAUCGGGGUCAAAUUCAAAUUUUAUGAUUGUCAUAGACAAAUAGCACAUGAAAUUCAAUUCAUGGUUUUGUUACAUUGCUAUUCCUCAACAACACAUUAUGAAUCAUUCAACCUUUUGAAAGCAAAGUAACAUGACUCAUGCAUAUUACAAUCCAAACUUAUUCAAUGUGUUGACUACCAAUUUAUAAAUGUGAAUAUUUCAUUUAGGAUUGUAUAUCACGACUUUCCUUUCAAGCAGACCCAAUAUUAGUGAAAGUUAUCUUAUGGCAAUACACAAUGAAUUCUAUUACACAAAUUAAUUCAAACCUUGUAAUGACAUUUGACUCCCAAAUCAUACAUGUAGAUAUUUUUCGAAAAUGCUGAGGAUAUAAGAUAAUUUGAAAUCGUGUUCAAAAUGUGGAGGACAUAAAUACAUAUACCAUGUAACAAAUAAACCAAUAAGCAUUAAGUUAGAUAAAACAUUAUCGGAAUGCAACUUCCAUUUCAUAUGUUAGUAUGUUGAAGGAGAGUUGACUCCAUCUAUGCUUUCCCGGGCUUUUUGUAAGGCGUUGAAAUUGCAAUUCUCUCUCUCUCUCCAUUAUUCAUUCAUUCCGCUAAUUUCUUCUUUCUUACCAUAUAUACAUGCAUCCCACGUCCCAUUAUAUUUUUAUUUUUUAGGAAAAAUAGAUUAAAGAAACGAGGUCCAACAAUCAUCUCUAUUUUUGUCAACCAGAGAAUAUAGGGGAAAAACCUUUUUGGCAGUUGAAUUCACCGCCUUAACAAAGAGGUUUUUCGGUGGUUUCAUUCUCCCUCUUGCUGUAAACUCUUGCUACAUUUCUCUCUCUCUCAUUCCUCUUCCAAAAGAUGCCUGAUGAUACGAAUUCAGUCGAUCAACACAACGGGAGUGGAGAAGAGAUGCAAAUCAAGAAUGAAUCUGCAGCUGAGCCUUCAGGUAUCUGUUAUUGCAAGGAUUUGGAAGUUUGAUUUAUGCCAUGUGUUUAGUCUCUUCAUUGUUUGGUUUAGAUAUGGAUUUGAUGAAGGAGAAAUUUUCAAAGUUGCUUCUUGGGGAAGACAUGUCCGGUGGUGGAAAGGGCGUUUCUUCUGCAUUGGCCUUGUCCAAUGCCAUCACCAAUCUUGCUGGUAAUAUUAAUUAUGAAAUCAAUUUGAACUUGUUCGAAAAUGUACAUGAUCAUGAUGAUUUAGUUCAUCGAAACCUUUGCAGCUUCUGUUUUUGGGGAGCAAUCGAGGUUAGAGCCAAUGUCUGCAACGAGGAAGGAGAGGUGGAAAAAGGAAAUCGAGUGGCUUGUCUCAAUCACGGAUUACAUAGUCGAAUUCGUCCCUUCUCAGCAGAAAACAAAGGAUGGUUCGAAUAUGGAGAUAAUGGUGACACAGCAGCGGAGAGACCUUCUCGUAAGCAUCCCCGCCUUGCGCAAGCUCGACACAUGCUUCUUGUAAGACACUUAUUUAAUGUUCUGUUUUGGUUGUGUUUAUGGCUACCUUAUACAUGGAUGAAAAUACUCAAUAACAAAGUCAAGAAAAACCACAAGUAAAGUCAAAAGAAAUAUAUUGUAGGACUUUAGUACCUUAAUUAUAGGGAUUUGCAUGACUUUGAUCAUUCUUAAACCUAUAAAUUGAGUAUCAUUGUAAUACGGAAAUAUCAAGCAAUAUCAAAGAAAUACAAUAACAAUCUUUGGCUUCUCUUUAUUUUUCUCUACAUUAUGAUGAUACCAUGUUUCAACAUGGUAUCAGAGCAGGUUCAACCCUAGGAACUCAGAAACGAAUCAUCAUCCUUCAUAAUCCAAAACCAAAACCGUUCCUAGCCAAUUCACCAAAUCAAAACAGCCCCUGUUCUUCAUUUCCUGAAAAAAAAAAAAAAUGCCAGGAGAGAUUGAAACCAUAAACCAAACAGAUUCAAAUAACCCAAAUCCAAACAGAAUCCACAGAAUGGGUCGAAGAGACCCAAAUCCAAUCAACUGCAAUGAAGAAGGGAUUAAUAAGCACCGAAAAUUAAUCGGAAAUUGCCGAUUAUUUCAAUUCCUCCCUGGAUUAGAUGGGAGAUACGACAAACUUUGUCGGGACAUUCUCAAGAAAGUUCCCGUUCCCUCAGUCGAGUCGGCGUUCUCAAAAGUGAGAAGGGAGGCCGCCCGACUACAAAACUUGCAGCCGGCAACCAACCGCUCCGACAUCGACGCCUCAUCAUCGGGAGGGGUCGGAGCCGGACUCGCCACCACCCACCGCCCUACUCAGCGGCCUGAGGUCCGACCGCCACACACCGCCGCCGGUCCAGGCAACCCACCGGAGUGGUGGGAAAACAAUCACAAAAUUGCCAAAGGGAAGAAAGCGAGCGACGACGAUGAGAUGGAGCAGCUGCUGCGAGCAGCGCAGGAUGACGUGCUUCGCAAACUCAGCGUCGAUUCCCACACGGCGCGCGGCUCAGGCGCCGCCGCCAUCGACCCAGAUCUCGACCGCCGUUUCCUGGCCCUCAAGAAACCCCAGAAGCUCUCGAAACACGACGAUUCUGUGAAGAAUUCCCCAAAAGAAGCUCACGCCUGCGACAGCAAAGUGGCGGACGGAAGUGGAGGAAAUUCGGAACAGAUCGGAGCAACACCGACUGGAUCGGAAGAGACCGAGAACCGACCGGCGUGGGCCGCAAGAGCGGCGGCCAUGGCUGUCGACCGAUUGGCAGCGGCUGGACCGUGGGGCGCGAGGGAGAUGUCGGCGGCUGGAGAUCAGUCGCCGCUGACCGUGGGGUCGGCGGCACCGGCCAUGAACCGACCGGCGGUGGCGGCGGUGGCUAUGGAUCGUCCGGCAGCGGCUGCAGGACCAAGGAAGGGAGGAGGUGCAGAUUUAUUUGAUGGAGGCGCAAGUAUAGGAGGCGCAGGGUAUAGGGUUUGGUGUUUUCACACCAAACCCUCUAACUUCUUCAAAUUAUUAUAAAAGACCCCAUUUUUUGCCCACUAAGUCCCCGAAUUCUGGAGUAUUACAAAUACCACCCCUGGGUUAUCCUGAAUUGCAGCAAGAGCCCCACUUUAUGCAAACUACCCCCCUGGAUUUGCAUAAAUUACAAAACCACCCCAAACCUCUACAUAAUACUAAAAACACCUCUCAAUUAUGUAGAAUUUCCCUAAAUACUUCCGCUGCAUAUCAAACCUCUUAUGAUAAUAGGGAUAGGGAUAAAGGGUGGAUUUUUGAUUGUGGAGCCACUGAUACAAUGACUUUUGAUAAAACUGAUAUUAUUAAGUCAUCAACAUCACAUCGUACGCAUGUUCAGACUGCAAAUGGUGAUUUGACUCGUGUUAAAGGAGCCGGAACUAUAGAAAUUUCCCCUACUUUACGUCUCUCAAAUUGUCUUUAUGUCCCGUCUCUUUCACACAAACUCUUAUCUAUUAGCCAUGUUACUAAAGAGCUCAAUUGUACCAUGCUUAUGCAUCCUCACUUCUGUUUACUUCAGGAUAUCAGGACGGGGGAGAUUAUUGGGCGUGGCACUGAGCGGGAUGGAUUGUACUAUGUGGAUGAGAUAGCUCAACAAGGCAAGGUGAUGCUGGCUCACGGAACUGCUGACCGGGAAGCCUGGCUUUGGCACCGUAGGUUAGGGCAUCCAUCCACGGGUUACCUUAAGAUUUUAUUCCCUAACAUUAUGCAAAAUAAUACUUUGUCUUGUGAAACUUGUGUUUUGGCUAAAAGUCAUCGACAACCUUUUAAACCUAGUGAUACUCAAGUCGAUUCUAUUUUUUCUUUAGUUCACUCUGAUGUUUGGGGUCCAUCACCUAUUGCCGGGGGUCAAGGGUUUAAAUAUUUUCUGCUUUUUGUUGAUGAUUGCACUAGAAUGACAUGGUUAUAUUUUCUCAAAAAUAAAUCUCAAGUUUUUGAUAAAUUUACUCAUUUUUUCGCCAUGGUGCAAAAUCAAUUCCAGAAAAAUAUCCAAGUCCUUAGAACUGAUAACGGGGGUGAAUUUGUCAAUCAUAACAUGCAGAACUUUUGUCAACAAAAAGGGAUAAUUCAUCAAACCACUUGUCCCCAUACCCCUGAACAAAACGGUGUUGCUGAACGAAAGAAUAGAAUCUUGCUUGAAAUGACCCGAGCUAUGAUGAUUGAGUCUAAGGUACCCAGCCAUUUUUGGCCCGAAGCUGUCGCAACCUCAGUUUACCUUAUAAACCGCCUUCCCACUAGAACCCUCAAACUUCAAACCCCAUUACAAAAAUUAUCCACUUUGGCCUCUGUCCCUGUCACUCUCACUCUUCAACCCCGGGUCUUUGGUAGUUCUGUUUUCGUUCAUAUCCCUAAGAAUGAACGGACUAAACUCUCUCCUUGUGCCAUUAAGUGUGUGUGUGUGUGAGGAUAUGGGUUAACAAAAAGGUAUAGUGUUACAAUCAAAACCCGUCAAAUCAUACCACCAUGAACUGGAUUCUUGAAACUGAUAUUUUUACUACCACCUUACAGUCAGGGGGAGAGUGAAAAAGAGAGUGAGACGACUGUUAAGUUGGUUACCAAUGCCAGCCCGGAAGCAGACCAACAGAAAAAGUUAGCCUCACCGAGCAUAUUCAUCCCUCCAGAACAAUCUAGUCGCUGCAUGAGCCUAUAUCUUCUCCCCCUGAUAUCUGAGGUAAGACUUCUGAACCUACAUUGUGGCUUCUGAUUCUCUGAUAUAUUUUCAACAUUGAAGAAGAACAGAGGAUAAUAAGUAGAUGAGAUACUGGGAGAUAUGUGCUACCACCCAGGAGUAAUCGGGUGUACCUCCUAAACGGUAUACCCCAGAGAAAUUGUGAGGAAUUCGAUACUCAUUGGGAAUAUCGCCAAGGGAAACUUGUCCAAAAAUGCACAGCCUAUGAAGCGCCUUAUAUGAUGAGGAGAUUCCACAAACAGCGAGCAAGCCCUGAAGAUCGAGCAUUGGAGAAAUGCUAUGAAGAAAGAGAUAGGGCCCUAAACCGGAAUCAACAUGGGAAAGUGUCGGUUGCCAAAGGGAAGAAAACUGUGGGAUGCAGAUGGGUUUUCACAAUCAAACGAAAACCCGAUGGAUCUAUUGAGCGAUACAAAGCUCGGCUGGUUGCAAAAGGCUACACACAAACAUAUGGGAUCGACUAUGCAGAAACUUUCUCGCCUGUGGCAAAGAUGAACACUGUCAGGGUGCUCCUCUCCAUGCUGCAAAGAUGGAUCUUCACAGUUUGAUGUUACAAAUGCCUUCCUCAUGGGACUGAGAGAAGGGAGGUUACAUGGAUGCCCAAGGUUUUUCAGAUGAUUGAGAGGGAGGUUGCAGAUGAAAAGACUUUAUAUGGCUCAAACAUCUCCAGGCUGGUUUGGAGUUCACCAGCUAUGAAGAAGUUGGGUACCACAAAGCAACGACCACACCUUAUUCUUGAAGAACGAGGUGAUCUUAUUUCUUGCUUAGUCAUUUAGUUGAUGAAUGAUCAUAACAGGGGAUGACUUAGAAGAAAUCCAGAAGUUGAAAGCAAAUCUUUUCAAGGAGUUCGAAAUGAAGGACCUUGGGAGACUAAAGUACUUCCUCGGAUCGAAGUACUCAGAUCGAGGAAAUGGAUUUUUAUCAAUCAGAAGAAGUAUACUCUUGACCUUCUUGCAGAAACUGGGAUGCUAGAUUGCAAGCCAGCUGAGAGCCUAUGGCUAUCAAUCAUGGGCUACAGAUUGUGAAGGGAGCUGAAUUGGCGGAUACGAGGAAAAUAUCAACGUUUGGUAGGGAAACUUAUAUAUCUUUCCCAUACUCGGCCUGAUAUUGCUAUGCUGUUGGAGUUGUGAGUCAGUUUAUGCACCAACCACAAGCUGACCAUAUGGAAGCAGCACUCAGAAUUGUGAGAUACUUGAAAGGAACCUUUGAUUAUGGAGUACUGUUCAGGAAGACUGGACAUCUCGAGAUACAAGGCUACACUGAUGCUGACUGGGCUGGAAAUCCCGUCGACCGAAAGUCAACAGCAGGAUACUUCACCUUUAUUGGAGGCAACCUUGUCUCAUGGAGGAGUAAGAAACAGAAAGUGGUAGCACUCUCUAGUGCAGAAGCCGAGUUCAGGGGAAUCAAGAGUGGACUAACCGAAGUCCUGUGGCUAAGAAGAUUGUUGACUGAAUUGGGUCUUCAACUGACAAAGACGUGUCAAAUGUUCUGUGACAAUAAAGCAGCCAUCAGCAUAUCAGAAAAUCCUGUUCAACACGACAGAACAAAGCAUGUAGAAGUUGAUAGACACUUUAUCAAGGAAAAAAUUGAAGGAGGUAUUGUGACGCUCCCAUUCGUAAGAUCUGAAGACCAACUCGCAGACAUCCUAACCAAAGCUGUGAACUCCAAGAAUUUUUCAGAAGUUCUUGGCAAGUUGAAUAUCGGGAAUCCCGUUACUCAACUUGAGGGGGAGUGUUGAAAAUACUCAAUAACAAAGUCAAGAAAAACCACAAGUAAAGUCAAAAGAAAUAUAUUGUAGGACUUUAGUACCUUAAUUAUAGGGAUUUGCAUGACUUUGAUCAUUCUUAAACCUAUAAAUUGAGUAUCAUUGUAAUACGGAAGUAUCAAGAAAUACAAUAACAAUCUUUGGCUUCUCUUUAUUUUUCUCUACAUUAUGAUGAUACCAUGUUUCAACAAUAGACUCAUCUGGUUUGUUCCUGCGGUAAAGACGAGUGUGGACAAGCCAAUGAGAUGCGACUGCUCGAGAGUGGAGGUGGUUUUCAUGAGGUUUAGAGGUAUCCUCAUAUGCUGCAGUGUUGGUAAUGGAGGCAGAACUUCUACAUUCGCUUGCUAAUUUUUUGGAACUGGAUAAAUUUGUUUGAAACCAGCUUACAUUAUGUCAAAUUAAACAUGAGUACUAAACAGAAAUGCAUACAUGUCAUAGAUAGGCUAUAGGAACUUGUGAUUUACGCAUAAUGUGUGUGUUAAUUUGAAUAUGUUGAGAUUGCUUAUGAUUCAACAAGGAAGUGAUAUUGCAAUAGACUUAUAUAUUUCCUCGAAAGAGAGUAUGAAAUCUACUGCAAAUGACGAAUCAGAUGACAUUCUCCGAGCUUGUCUAGUUCCUAGUGAGUUUUGCUCUAAGCUUGAAGCACCAAUUUGGAGGAGGGGAAGAAAGGGCGUGUGAAAUCAAUUGCUUCUGGAGUUGUUGUUUUAGGCUUUCAUCGAUGUAGGUAUUAUUUUAGUUGCAAGACGAAAGAGAAGAGAAAAGGCUGCUAUAUGAAUACCUACUGAAUAAAAGCCUGGAUUAUUUUGUCUUUGGUGCAUUUCGUUAAUCCUUUUUACUAUUUUAUCCAACCAAAUAUUUUGAUAUAUAUUCACAUACUUGAUCAUGUGUAGAUCAGCAGCGAAGGACACUUUUCACAUCAUCAUGGGAAUUUCAAGGGGGCUGCUAAUGCUAUAUCUCCAUCAUGAUUCAAGAUUAAAGAUUAUAGGCAGGGAUUUCAAGUUGAGCAAUAUUUUACUAGACCGGAAUUAAACCCAACAAUUUCAGACUUGGGCUUAGCAAGAAAUUUUGAAUUAGAUGAUGGAGGAGAUUUAUAGCUGUGAGUUUUAGAUAGGAGUUGGAACAAUUGUAAAGGAAUUUGUUGAUAGAUAUUGUUACUUCACAUGAGGUUGCUUUUCCGAAUUUAAUUUUAAACCAUGAUUGGAGUGUACCAAACUUUAUGAGCAUAUUUCAGUGCCCAUAUAUAUAAUUUGAUUCGAUGAAAAUGUGAAGCUUGUUGCUCCUCAUAUUCUCAGCCAUGUAAGUAGUAAUUAUUUCACUAAAAACUCAGUUGUCCAUACAAAACAAGUUGCAUGUGGAAAUAAGGAUAGUUGGAGAUGAUGCUCAAAGUAUUGACAUAGUAGUCAAGAAACUCACAUAGCUUCUCAUCUUUCUCGAUCUUCAAUAUUUUCAAUUUUCUCAUUCAAACCAGAAAAUAAUGUGGCAAUAUUUCUACAGUUGUACUCGUGAAGAAGCAUAUAUCUUACAUCUCCAAUAUUGAUUCUCAUUUUGAACACAAUGCCUCAAUGUACAAGUUCCAGUUGGAAUCAACCCGGUGACUGGUCUAGGAGUUCAAAUGCAUUUGCAGCAAUCUCCUCAUCUGCCCUCCAAGUCGGUAAUGCUAAUCGUUCCAUCCUCGGACUUGAUACUAGGUGAUUUACAACUUCGACUUCCUUCAAUGAAAUAUCCAGGCUCAUUAGGUUCAGGCAAGAUUGCUCCAUCAGUUGCUAACAUUAAAACCACCGAUGGCAUGAUCGGUCUAUCCUCUGCUAAAUUUUGAACACAUAAUAACCCCACAUGUAUGCAUCUCUUCACUUGGGAUUCAACACAUGUUUCCUUCAAACAAUCGUCCAUCAUUUCCAUAAUCCUCUUCUCUUUCCAUAGCAGCCAUGCCUGCACCAAUUGCCACCGGAUAAGUUCAUCAGAUUUUUCUCAGUUUAUACUGAAAAAACACUUUUUCAUAUCACAAUUAUCAACCAAUAUAGCUAACAAAUAUGUAGCCAAGAGGAGUACAUGGCCUAGGAGGCUGUGACGAUUCAUCGUUGUGCUUAAUCUCUGUUCCUUUUCCCACUUAUUAUCUCUAGUAGUACUACUCCAAGACUAUAGAUAUCAGACUUCACUGAGAAUUUCCCAUGAAAUGCAUAUUCCGGAGCCAUAUAGCCGCUGCAUAAAAAUAUGACUCAUUAUUUAGGCCACCAUGGAAAAUAGCAGUGUGUUUUGAUGAGAUGAAAGAAAACAUACUAUGUUCCAACAACUCUCUUAGUUCUAGAUAGAGAUUGAUCCUCUUCAAAUGUUCUUGCUAAGCCAAAGUCUGAUAUUUUUGGAUUUAGACUUGCAUCUAGUAAAAUGUUACUUGUCUUUAGAUCCCGAUGGAUAAUCUUUAACCUGGAAUCAUGGUGAAGAUAAAGCAGUCCCCUUGCGAUUCCCAUGAUAAUGUCGAAGCGCUUAGGCCAUGUCAGAAGUGUCCUUCGAUCCAGAUCUGCACAUGAUCCAAUACUUUAUCAUCAUCAGACACUUCAAAUAUAUGGUAGGAUAAAUUUAUUGGAUUUAAACAAACAAAAGGAUAGGAAUAUAUUUGGCCAGCACCAAAAACAAAAUUAUCCAAGCUCUUAUUCUGUAGGUAUUCAUAUAUUAGCACCAUUUCCUCUCCUUCAAUGCAACAACCAAGGAGUCUGACGAGGUUUCUAUGUUGAAGUUUGGCGAUCAAGUUGACUUCAUUCUUGAACUCUUCAACACCCUGUCUAGAAGUUUUCGACAAUCUUUUGACUGCGACUUCUUCUCCCGAUGACAGAUUUCCCUGCUUAUGCAUCACAAUAUAGGAUUAAGGAUAUCUGCUGAAGUAGAGGCAAUAAUGCACAACUUGAGCAAUGUGUCAAGGAAUGUUACCUUAUAAACAGGACCAAAACCUCCUACUCCUAUCACGUUCUCUUUGGAGAAACUGUUUGUUGCCUCCAGAAUAGUUGCCAUUUUGAUCAAAGGUAAUUCUAUAUCCUCGUUAUUCCUCUUUACCCCUGUGAAGCACGAAAAGACGAAGGAACUCAAUGCCUCAGGCUCUGCCUGACUUCGUGUUGUGAACAUUAUAACAGAUUUACACAAGUCAUUAUUGUUACCUUGCUUCUUCCAUUUUGUCAGUAAAACUAUACCUCCAUUGAUAAAGCUCGAGACAAUGACUCCAGUAGCAAUGGAUAUUAGCAUUAAAUUUAUAUGCCCUUUCUUCUUCUCCUCCUCCAGAUUAGAGCUAAAAUCUUUAGGCAACAAAAGUCAAGGCAGAUAUAACAUUAACUUCAAAAUACGAGCAAAGGAACUUACCUAGUUCUGAAAGUGGCACGCGAAUAUAGAUAUUCUGCAAGUUAUCUGCUGCAGAAAGCUCUCUGGUAUCAAGGAGAUCCCCAAACCACAUCAAGCACCCUCUGCCUCCAUCAGUUAUGUAAGGAUUAGCACACGCAGAGCAGUCGCAGUUUUUCAAGCACUCAGCUUUGCACUGCUCAAGGCUCACGCUAAUAUUCAACCAGUACCUCAGCAUAUCAGGAUGCUUCACACCUCUAAGCUCUACAAAACCAUCUCCACUCUCGCAAUUCAAUGCCCUAACUCUACCACAUCCACCAGACCAAUCUUGAAGCUCCCAAUCGAUCUGAAACUUGGGGGAAAAUCCUCUGAAACACUCGCAUCUUUGUGCUUUCUCAACCGUGCAGAUGGCGUUGGGGCCGCAGUUGGCAUACUCGUCGCAGAUGUCUCGUGGAAACGUGAACACAGGAUUCCACUUAUCCUUUCUGGGAUUCAUGAUAUAGCGGUGGACCGUGCCAGACGCGUCUAUUGAUGCUCUGGUGAUAAUGGAGCUGUGAUAAGGCCUCGACAUAGACAUCAGCCUCUCUUCUUUGAAGAUGAGUUCAACUCUCGGGAGAACACUGCGAAAGCGAGGGAUACCACUGAAAUAGAUGCCAUUCCACUUCCCAGUUCGAAAUCUUUUCCUAAUGCCGCUGAAAAUCACUAUCUCAGCAACCCAUGGUUCUCGAUCUUCAACACGAAAUCUCCGGGCGAAGGAUCGUCCCAAUCUCUCCAUGAAGUCAAGUUCGUGGCAACACCGGCGUCGUUAUCAUCGACGAUCUUCAUACCUGAUAGCCACGUGUCAGUUGGGAAAUCGAAACUCUGCCAUAAGCAGUGGCCUUCCUCCGCCGUCUCGUCCACGACAACCAGGUUUCCGGUAUCGAGGAGGCGUACAGCUGGACGCGAUGCCGCCGUCGAUGGAUUCGCCGACCAGAUAAUGCUUCCACCUCUGCUUAUAAGGAGAGUGCCGUUUUCAGCAACGGCGAAGACGACUCCUUGUGAAUCAGUGAUGGGAUUGUUUCUGUUUGCAACCCAAACUACAAUGUCGGGCGUGGCUUUGUACCAAAUUCCUAAGAAUACAUUCGUCGAUUUUCCAGGUUGGAAAAAUCCGAGCUCAAAGACUUGGGUUUCAGAGACCAAAGUCUGCCCAAUAGCAAUCUUUUGGUUGUGGAGAAGUGAAUCAUCUGCUGCUGAGGUUAAUUUGAAAAGGGCGAUGGAGUGAACCAAAGAGCAGCAUAGGAUUGCCGUGAUAAGGGAAGGCGCCAUUUUAAUCGCUGAUCGUAAAAAUGUUUUGUAUGAUGGAGAAAGAUGAGGUCGAAUUAAUUUUAAGGAGAAAAGAUUUGGGAAGUGAAAGAGGAAUCAAAUUGAAAGGAGACUUUUUGGGUUCUUACUAGUCCAAUCCAUCGUCACCUAAUCUCUCUUUUGGGCAAUUAUCGUUUUUCUCACUAUUUUCGACUUUUUUUUUCAAAAAAAAAAAUAACCUCCCCCUUUCGGUGAAGCUUCCGCUCCCGGCUCUCUCUCUCUCGCAUCUCUGUGGGUGCUCCACGGUGUCACCACCACCUACAUCAUACAACAUCAAAAUUGAUACGCCCAUCUCCACCACUAUCACCGGCGUUGCAGAGAAUCGAAGUUAGUAGCCGUGGCGGUUCAGUCUUUUUGACAACAAUUAGGCGUGCAAUAGACUAAGGUGGUCAACGACGAAACCUACGGUUGCGCCGGAAUUGAAGACACUUUCGUUAUCGGGUUCUCAUUUUGGUACUUAACCUCAUCUCAUCAAAUUGAUCCAUUCUUCAAUACAUGUCGCGCAGAUAAUUGAAGUUAGUAGCCGUGGCGGUUCAGGCUUUUUGACAACAAUUAGGCGUGCAAUAGACUAAGGUGGUCAACGACGAAACCUACGGUUGCGCCGGAAUUGAAGACACUUUCGUUAUCGGGAGGUUCAUCAUUUUCGGAUACUUAGAUCCUGCAUCGUUUUCCACUAUGAUGCACGGAUUCUUCAAAAAUUAGCAUGUACAGCGAAUCAGAUUAUAUUUGAAUCGUUAUAUUGCUGCUCAAUUAAUUUAUAUAAUUGAAAAUGCUUAACUUUUGGGUAAAAUAAAAUGUAAUUCAAGAAAACUUAAAUUGUAUAUAUUUUAUAAGCAUUAUAUAUCAUAAAAUUUUAAUAAUUAGAUGUAUCCUACCGAAUCGCACCCUAUAAUUUUUAAAAACCCGUAUCCCCGUACUCGUAUCGUAUCGCCCCCGCAUCCGCACCCAUGUACCUAUGCAACAUAGGUUUUCCACCAAAGAAACUUAGGUCCCGCAUAAUUUUCUUUUAUCAACUAGUACACUCGCCCGUGCCAUGCACGACGAAUAUAUUUUUGUAUCAAAAUUAAACGAUGUAGUGUGUAUCAGUUAUGCGAUUAGGGGUUAAUGUCUAAAAUCGAAGGUCUUGAGUUCGAACCUCCUGUGGCACGGCCUUUAAAUUUCUUUAUUUAAUCAUGUUAAUUUAUAUAUAAAAAAAAUUAAAUGAUUUAUCAAAUAAAAAAAAUAUUAAAUAUAAUUAGAAUAUAAGUAAAUGUAAAUUAUUUUUUCUUAAAAAAUAAAAUAAUCUACAUCAAUUACUCAGUAAAGAUCCUUAAUUUUAUUUUAUAAUUUUCAAAAGUAUCAUUUUUAAUUUUUCACCUAUUUGAUGGAAAACUUUGUUUUCUUCCCUAAAAUUAUAGAAUAAACACAUCAUUCAAAUUAAAAGAAACGAAGAAAUAAUUAAAAAAAAGUAUUCACAUCAAAAUAUGGAGUAUAUUUUUAAAACAUGAGCUAAUCAUGCAUAAGAUUAUUUUUUCUAAGUUAGCUCAUUACCUAUGUCAUCUUAUUAGAAAAGCUUCAAUUGAUGAGUAGGAAAAUAAAUUAUAUCAUUAGAAUUUUUUAGAAUACUAAUAAAAGAAUUGAAUAAUUAUUUGAUGCCAAAAAACAAAUCCCAAUAAAACUGAAAUAUAUCAUUUUGCUUUGGCUUUCUCCUUCAAACAUACUUAUUUAAAUACAUUUCUAAAAUCAAUUUUUUGCUAAAAAUGUAUAAUUUCAAAGUUUAUAAAAUUUUAUUGAUUAUAAUUUUGAACAUGGUAUAUAAACGUAUAUUUAUAAUUAUUUGUAAACUAUUUAAAUUAUUUAUAAUGGCAAUUGACAUCACACAUUAUUAUUAUAUAGUAAUUAAAUACCUUCAUUCCUAUUUUCGUUUUCUCCUAAUACUUAUAUCUAAUCAAAUUUGUUGCAGAAAAAAGAGUUUCUAUCUAUUACUUUGAUUUCUUUAAUUACUUCUUGUCAUUUUCUCUCAUCAGCUUCAUUCAUCUAACUUUCUCUCAAUUUAAUACUUCGAUUCUUAAUUUAUUUAGUUAGAUGCUAAUUUUAAACGUAAAUGACAUUGUUUUAAUAUGCCCAAAUUAACAUUGUAUUUUUUAUUUUUAUUUUACUUGAAUUGACAUUGUAUUAGUAAUCGACAAAUAUGGUACGGGAUUUCAUAUAGUAUUUCAGCACAAAAUUUGACCAAAAAAUAAGCGAAAUAUGGUACGUAGGAUUUCGUAUAGUACUUCAGCACAAAAUUUGACCAAAAAAUUAUCGAAUAUGCAAAAUAAAAUAUAUAUAAUUGUCAUAUCCCAGUUUUUAAUCACUGAUUAAAGACUUAAUAAUUAGGGUUCGGCAUCCAUUAAUAAUAAAACUGAUUUGAUUUAUGUGAUGUGAUUUAAUUGUUAUAUAUGUGUUUUGAUGUGCUUAAUUCUUAUUGUUAUUUAAAUCCAUUUGAGAUUUAAAGGAUCUUUAUAAAUAUGGUGCACAAGUUUAAUUAGUGGUUUGAGCAUAUUUAUAUGAGCCACAUGGAUUUUUUUUUUAGUGGGCAUGAAGUCAUGAAAUUCCCUUUAAAUGGAAUAUUAAGUUUUAUAAAGUGUUUUACCUCAAUGAUUUUAAUUGUGAUUUUUUUUAAAUGAAAUCAUGAGUUUAUUUAAAAUUGACUUCAUAUCUUAACCACUUGUUUUCUUAAUUUGUUCAUUCCACGUCCACCACUUGAUUCAUUUUAUUUAAUUAUUUCCAUCAUUUCCAAGCUUUACAACCUUUUACUCACAACCAAAUCUCAUUCAUAUCUUCCUAAUUAGACCAACAACUAGUACAAAGAAAAGAAAAUGUGGAACCCUACCACUACACUUCUUUCUUCUGCUCCACCUAACUUUAUACCUUUCUGACUAAGCACUGCCCCUACUUUAGUUAAUAAAUUCCAAAGUAUUCUGCCAUCCUUCAUCUUCAAAGUCUUAGCUUUCUCAUUAAGCUAAUCCCUACUUUUUCUCCCUAACAUCACUUUCCCUAUCCCCAUUCACAGUUGUUCCAAAAACAAGGAAAGAGAUUCCAAGUCCAGUUCCAAAAUUUCAAAUCAAGAAGGUAGGUAAUUAAAUGUCUUACUCUUCAUUAAUCUUCCAGUUCCAAUUCCAAAAAUUCAUUCUUACUUUUUGAUCAACAAAUUGCAGAAUCGAACUAUUGCCAACACCACCCCUCAUAUCGAGGUUACUCCAAUUUCUCCCCACUUCAUCUUGUUAAUUUCGAUUCAAGCAUCAAAGAACAGAAGAAUACGCACGCACACAUGUUAAUAUAUUUUCUAAGCUAUUACAUUUACAAGGUUUGAUUUUUGCUAAGGAAAUGAUAAAUGAAUGAUGAAAGAACAGAUUUCUAAACAAAACCCUAGCUUUGCUAUACUUGUGAAUCUGGACUGAAUUUGGGGGUUCUUGUACUCUGUCUUGUAUGUGUGUCCGGGAACGGAGUGAUGGGGGUGAGAGCAGCCGGCGGCUGCUCAUGGCCGGCGACGGCUAGGCGGUNAUUUUCGACCGUUUUUCGUAAUUUUUGUUUUUUGUUUUUGUUUUUUCCCCUAACGACUCUUUCGUCCGUUUUGAGUCCAAUUUUCCUUUUUUGUUUUUAUCUUCUUUUCUCUCUAUAAAUAAUACUUCUCCCUCAUUCAUUCAUCACAACUCACUUUCAUUCAUCACAACUCACUCCUUCUUCCUCCUACAAUUUUCUUGAAAAAUAUCAUAUUCGUUCUUCCAAAAAUGUCGUCACCUGAACAUGAUUCAUCGCCCGAUUCCGACGAAGUCGCUGAAAAGUUCAUGGAGUUGGUUGAGUUGCAGAAACAACUUCUUCAAUCAUACUACCCCCAACCGGCGCCAGAGCCGGCGCGUGCCAAACGUCCCCGAUCAUACGUCCACCAUGAUCGUGAAGAGGCCCAUGUACGUCUUAUGCAAGACUACUUCGUCGACAAUCCAACGUACGGCCCUACUUUUUUCCGGCGUCGAUUUCGCAUGCAGAAGGAGCUCUUCUUGCGCAUCGUCGAGGCUGUUCAAGGUGAAGAUAUUUACUUUCAUAUGAGCACUGAUGCACUCAGUCGAGAUUCUCUUUCUCCUUUGCAGAAUGCACGUCGGCUAUCCGCCAAUUAGCCACCGGGGUUAGUGCGGAUGUGUUCGAUGAGUAUCUCAAAGUGGCAGACUCAACCGGUCGUCUAUGCCUAAAGAAGUUCUGCAAGGCGGUCAUACGGGCUUUUGGAGCCCAUUACCUGCGCCGUCCAACGCCAACAGACGUGCAACGCCUACUCCGAAUGCACGAGGCGAGACAUGGUUUUCCCGGGAUGCUCGGGAGCUUAGACUGCAUGCAUUGGGCGUGGAAGAACUGCCCAAAGGCGUGGCACGGCGCAUACACACGCGGGGAUCAGGGAGAGCCCACCUUGAUAUUGGAGGCCGUUGCCUCAUUCGAUUUGUGGAUUUGGCACGCCUUCUUCGGCGUCGCUGGUUCAAACAACGACAUCAAUGUGCUGAAUCAGUCUCCUCUCUUCUCCGACGUGUUAGGAGGAACUGCGGCGCCGGUGGUCUUUCAUGCCAACCAGCGCGAAUACCGGAUGGGCUACUAUUUGUGUGACGGCAUAUAUCCGGAGUGGCGUUGCUUCGUGAAGAGUCCAUCAAUGGCAACCAAUCCGAAGGAGGCAAGGUUCAAGAAGAUGCAAGAAUCGGCACGGAAGGAUGUGGAACGCGCCUUCGGAGUCCUUCAAGCUCGGUGGGGAAUCAUUCGAAGUCCGGCGCGCAAUUGGUACGUAGAGCACUUGAAGGACAUCAUGUUGUGUUGCAUCAUUCUCCACAACAUGAUUGUGGAGCACGAAGGUGAAGCGGCUGCCAAUUGGAGAGAUGAUGACGGGGCGUCUAGCAGUGGUUCGACGGAGAGUGCUGGACAAACGCCGGUGGCCUUCGAGGAAUAUGUGCGAAGGGAUAGCCUUCUCCGAGAUAGACAACUACAUGCUCAGCUCCGAUAUGAUUUGAUUGAGCACCUUUGGGCACGUUUCGGACCUCUAGGGUCAGAGUAGUUAAUUUUUAGGAAUUGUUUUUAUUUUAUUAAAGUUUUAUGUAAUAUUUAGGAUUUUAUAAUUAAUGCAAUUUAAAUUUGUAAUAAAUUGUGUUAUUUAAAUUUGAGCAAUUAAAUUUAAAUGAAAAACAUAAAAUCAAAACUAAUAUUAUCAAGUAGGCUAUCAAGGAACCCCAAUGCAGCACUACCUACUCAAUAACACAAACACUAUCAAGUAGGCUAUCAAGGAGGCUAUCAAGGAGGUCCCAAUGCGGAUGCUCUUAGAUUUCUUGGAUUACUUCUUGUCAUUUUCUCUCAUCAGCUUUAUCCAUCUCACUUUCUCUCAAUCUAAUACUUCGAUUCUUAAUUUAUUUAGUUAGAUGCUAAUUUUAAAUGUAAAUGACAUUGUUUUAAUAUGCCCAAAUUAACAUUGUAUUAGUAAUCGACAAAUAUGGUACGCAUGAUUUCAUAUAGUAUUUCAGCACAAAAUUUGACCAAAAAAUAAGCGAGUAUGCAAAAUAAAAAAUAUACAAUAAUUGGAUAAUUUUAAUACAUAUUUCAAAAUUGAUGUGCAAAGGCCACUAAAUUUAUAUACAGUAGUAAACCAAAGAGAAAAAGUAAACGUUUGUUUAGUAUUAAGGACAUGUGAUAUUUCCACAAAAGAAUUAAAGGUAUCUUUAUGUUAUGCUUAAUAAAAUAAUCCAACAUAUAAAUAUGAUGUUUCAAUGAUUUUUUAUUUUUUUUAUCAAAAGAUAAGAGAGUAGAAACAAAAUUUUAAGUAGAGAAUGAGAGAAAAAAAAUAUUAAUAGUAACGACAACCUUAAAACAACCAUAUAAAUAAGAAAAGACAAAAAAUAUGAAAAAUUGAUAAUAAAAAAAAGAGGAGAGAGAAAAAAUAAACAUCUUAAAAUUUUAAACUAUAAUAAUUUUUUUGUUUUAAAUUCAUAUUUAAUAAUUUUUAUACCAAAUAAAAGAUCUUGCAUUUAUCUUUUGAUGAGGAGUAAAAUAUGUGUAAGGCAAACCUGGCAACAACGGGGAUGUCAGCCCUGGGAACGAAAGAGGGGAGAAUAGCCUAAAUAAUGUUCUUUGGGGAAAAACAUGAGAGACAGAAGCUUCAGGGCCAUUUCUAAAGGAUCUUGCUACUUAAGAUGUCAGGGCUGAAAUAAUUAGAGAGGAGGAAGGAGGAUCAAAGGUCAGGUCCUAAAAGAAACAGCGGAGAGGUAACUUGCAAGACUGGACAGAACUUCAGAGCUGGCAAACCCGGGCAACGCUGGAAAAGGCUGAAGGCAUGACGGCUACUGACAACUUUUACUAAAGAUUCCUCCUAACUAUCGGGGUCGUUAUCAGUUGUAAAAUUACCCCUUUAUCCCCCACUAUAAACAUCUAUAAAUAGAGGAUGCGGCCACACUUGUAAACACACGCUAUUCUAAACACUCAAUACAAUCUUUCUCUCUUGCUUUAGCAAUUUUCGUCACUCUCUCGAUUCAUUGCAUACCACAGGUGUAUUACUUUAUCCGUGAUUAAAGGGGUGUAAUUAUCGAACUCAUCAACUUUAAUUUUAUAUAUAUAUAUAUAUAUAUAUAUAUAUAUAUAUAUAUAUAUAUAUAGGGAGAGGUUCAAAUAAGAACCACUAAAUAAAAUUAGAACAAAGAACCAUUUUAAACCAUUCGAUCAUCAAGAUCUACGGUGGAUGCAUCAUCUUGGUGGAUGGAUGCAGGUGCUGGGUUCGAAUCCUGAAGGGAGCAAAAAAAUUAUUUUUUUCGGAUGCAUUAAAUUUAAUAGCGGAUGCAUUAAUUUGUAUAGCAGAUGCAGUAAUUUUAUUGGUUCUUAUGUUCUCACGAUAAUUGUGGUUCUCACUAUAACCGCACCCUAUAUAUAUAUAUAUAUAUAUAGGGGAGGGCUAUUCAGAAAACUCCUUUUAGACUAUAAAAUAGGAACAAAUAUACAUCCUAGAUCUUAUAAAAAUGAAUGGUCCAGAUUAAAAAUUCAAAUUCAGCGUGAUUCAUCUUAAAACAAUAAUCUAACGACAGUUUUACCAAGUGAGGUAAAUGCCUUGACUACUGUUAAGAUGGAGCUAGCUGUGGAAAACCUGAUGAUGAUGGAAGAGGUAAAUUUUGUCAACAAUGGGAAUUUCGAAAUUUUUUAAUAGGAUGGAUUUCAAAGAGGACAGCCGGGAAACAAUCAGAGCGGGCAACAGUUCUAUCAUGGAGGGUGCCUACAUCCCAAUUUAUCUUAAGAGAAUCUGAAUAACGCAUUUCAGGCUCCACCAGACUUCUCUGUCAUCAAUGGAGUCAUCAAUGAGAAGAAGAAGCCUAAUUUGGAAGAGUUGCUGAUGAAAUUUAUCUCCAAGUCGGAUGAGAGGAUGGAGAAGCUUGAGUCUACCACUGCUGCUUUAGGGACUCAGAUGAAGGUGUUUGAGACUCUGAUGACUAGAAGGCCAUCACUGCUAUUAGUAAUCUAUAUCAGUCGGGCCAAUUCCCAAGCAAUACCGUGGUGAGUCCAAAAGAGCAGUGUAUAACCAUUGAGAUCAAAAGUAGUACUUCAUUUGAAGAGCCUCAAGCGAUAGAAGAAGAGCAAGAAGUUCUGAAAGUUAAGAUGAGCUUGGAGGAUGAAAAUUUUAAAACUGUUGAAGAGCGCAAUGUCCUAAAUGUAGUCGACCCUUGCAUCGACCAAGGAAAAUCAUUGAAGGCUUUUCUCUUUAGCUUUUAUCUAACUCCAUCUUUUGAUUUUAAUUUUGAUUCAUCUGAUGAACACUUUUUGGAGUGUGGUAGUACUUUUGAUUGUUCACAGGAUGGCCAUAGUUUUCAAGAUAUUUUGAAGGUUGGAAAACCACCUUAUUAUUGGUUCGCAACAGUGAUGUACUCAAAUUUGAUGAAAAAUGGCUGUCACCUAUACCUACUGGAUCGUCGAGCUAACGACGUUAAAAAUAGCGCUUAUUGGAAGGCAACCCAAUUCUGGUAAGUUCGUUUCUUUUUGUUUGUUUGUUUGUUUUCGUGCCCCACAAUUCCUUUUCAAACUUAUUCUCCUUGGUGGUGAAUAAGUUUGGAGGGAUGUGUCUUUGUGGGAGCACUUUUAUUUUGGUUGUUCUUGUUUAUGUCGUUGUUGAGUCAUUUAGUUUUGCUUUGGUGGCUUCUCUGUGAUGAUACCUUGAUGAAGAUGUGAGUAGUGUAGAGAUUGGUUGGAUAACUAGCUCAUGAUUAUUUCUGUUUAAAACUUGUGGAAUUGCAUGCGUUUGUGUUGAUAUUAUUGAGAUUAAGCAUGAGUGAUGAAUGAUAAGCGUGGUCUCUAUGUGUUUGCAAUCAAUGAAAUAAGUUGUGAGGAUUUGAGCCUUGACUGUCAUUAUUUACAGUCUUAUUUCUUAUUCUUGAGUGAUUGUUCGAGCAUGCAUGUUUCUCACUAGAACUUGUCUUGGUUUCUUCCUCGAGGUCAUAUAGUGUGCUUAAUAACUUUGAGAUGAUAGAAGACAAUCUUUGCUAGCCCUUUUACACCGUUGUUGUCCUAUUACUUUAUAUAUUCCUAGUUUGCCCCUUUGAGCUUUAUUAUCCAUAUUCUUUGAUUUAGCCAUGAGAGGGAAUUUGGAGAUUGUUGAUGGGGUAUUCGGAAUGGUGAAAAUGUGUGGAUCAUUGACUUAUAAUGUCGCAGCCCGAUCCCCGACGCUAGUGAUAGCGGGGUACGAGUAUCGAUACGACUAUUUUAAAAGAAUAAAAGAUAAGAAGAAUAGAUUGAACAUCAAGCGGAAGCUUAUCUCAAAGCAUGCUAAGGAAAAUCAUCAUAAAUUAACCCAAGGGAAAAAAACGUCAACGUCAUCAUAACUUCAUAAAUAUCAGGAAUUUCACGAACAAAAACGGGUACGAGUAUCGAUACGACUAUUUUAAAAGAAUAAAAGAUAAGAAGAAUAGAUUGACUUAUAUGUAUGAAGACACAUAACCGUGAGUAAAUUGCUUGAAUUCAAAAGAAAGCAAAGUAUCUCAAUUGUCAUGACUCUAUUAAGAUAAAGGCAAUACAGAAAUAUAAAUACGUCGAUUGAAACUUUCCCCCACCAGCACCAGACCAAUCUCGUUCCCUGCUUAGCCUGCACAUUUAGAAAUAUAUGCAGGGCGUGAGUACAUAAUACUCAGUGGGCAAAUGCCGAAAAACAAGAAAGGUGCUCUUAGAGCUAUAGGUUUGAAAACUUGCCACAUCUCACCAAUACACAGGAAUAAGUUAGCGUAAAUGAACCUGUGUAAGCAGUUUUAAUAAUCAUGAUAUCAUAAAGAAACGAUAGCGUUAUCAAAGUACUCAUCAUGUAUGUACCACAUCUACAACUCAUCAUUAUCAAAGGUACUGAGAAGUAGGCCUCCCUCUCAAGUACCGUGACCGGCCAACCCGAAGACGGCUCACAGUCACCUCUGUGCACAAAAUCCCGCUUGUGGCAGGACCGAAUUCGUCUCAUCAGUAGAGGGUAACACACAAGCUCAACAUCAAAAAUUGGCAAGUCAAACAGUUCUUAAACAUCAUUUAACUCAACAUUUGAUAAACUCAUAAAUAUCAUCAUCAAAACAUUUUAGAAAGCUCAUAUGAUAUAUGUAUACUCAAAAUAUUGCCCACCUGAAGUCCUUCGCUAAUCCUGGAAAGAAAUCAGGCGACUUACUUCUUCGUCUCGCUCGGGCCUUCAUAUAUCAUCAUCAUCGUCAUCGUCAUCGAAGGUUCAUGUGAUAGAACAAACCUUAGUCAGAAACUCAUUUACUAAAUCAAAUCUCAUCUCAAACUAUAACUUCUCACUCAACGUCUAUUUACCCAUUAAAACUCAAUCCCUAGGUAUACUUAACUUCUAAGGAUUCACAAGUCCUACUCUCGACUUAACUCUCAACUCGGACCAUACUCAUAGCAAUCAAGCACAUAAACAACCAUAAACACUUAAGCAUAUAAAAUUCACACAUAGACAAGUCAAAAAUAACCUUCACUCUGCACUGACUCAACUUCAAAACCUCACCAGACUCGGUACAGAACUCCACUGGAGUCGUAACCUAUACAAAAAGAAACCUAUUUGAGUCUAGUUUCAUUUAAAAAAAGUAGGAUAAAAAAAUCCAAGUAUUUUAGGUGAUAUGACUGUUUUACUACAGUCUACCAUAUUCGGCAGUUUUUAGCAAUCGAAAACUUUGAUUUUUGAAAAAUAGUAAACGUUGUCAAAAAGGUCUGAAGUUUGGUGGGUACAUAGAUAAGACACUCAUGUAUUAAAAAUAAAAAUUUGGUCUCCAAAAAGUUAGGGAAAGAUACUGGAAAAGGUGACUCUAUUGGCUACUCACCGAACAAUUCGGCAGAACGUAGCAGUUUUGGUUUUACAUUUUAUAAAAAUAGUAAACGAAGUCCAAAUGACUUGAAAUUUUACCGGUGUGCUGAAGACUCUAAAAUAUACUUACCAUAAAAGUUUCAUGGUGUUUGGGUAACAAAAACCCCUUGAACACAGUAGGUCAGUGCAUCAUGAAAAUGACUCUUAAAUCAAUCACACAAGCAAACAUGCUCAACUCAACAUUCCUUCAAAGAAAACUCAUCAAAGCUCGUUUUAAACACUUAUAGCACUAAAAAACAUUCAAGUACAACAUAAUACUCAUCAUAACUCAAAUUGACUCUCCUCUUACAUCUUAAACUCAAAUCUCAAGGAAAACGUUUCAACGAACGCAUCAUUUUAAUUCUCUUCUCAUUUUCAUGCUCAAAAUUACUCAAAUACUCAAACAUGCUCUCAUACAUUAUAUAACUCAUUAUACACAUAUAGAUUCUCUUUUUAUCAUGCAAACUAAAUUCUAACAAAAACUCACGUAUCAACGUAGACUCUUAAUAAAAGCAUGACAAACGUUCACAUAAUGGUCAUAAAGCAAUUAUACCUCAUUUUACCAAUCAUCAACCUCUCAAUAUAUGAGAACUCAAAAACUCAUAUAAACUAAACUAAGUCAAAAUUUUACUUAGCCAACAAAAAACUUAAUCAAACAUAUUUGGACACUAAUAUCAUGCUCAAUUACAUAUAUCCUAAACCAAUUCACUUAUUAACACAUAGGCAAGAAAGUCUUAAUUUUUAUUAAAUUAAACUCUUUGAAAUUUCAUAAACACAUAUGAAACCUUAAUCUAAUCAUAGAUCUAUCAAUUUUAACCAUUUAAACUCACAUAUAAACCAUCAAUUUUCAAUUUAGGGCAUAGAUACACAUAUCCCUAAUUUUAUUAAACUAACUCACAUCAAAUUCAUCAAUUAACAUCAUAUACUCAAUCUACUCCAUCAAUCAUCAUCAUAGACUCAUACUCAUCAUCAACAUCAAUUCAUACUUUAAUACAUCAACUCACAAAUUCCCAAAUUUUGGGUAAACUAAACUCAUCCAACUUUCACAUCUCAAGGCAUAUACUUUCACAACACACAUCAAUCAUCAACAAACAUCACAUAGAUCUCAUUUUUCACCCCAAAUCAAGGAAAGAAAAAGAACAUUUUUUGAAGGGUAGAAGACCCAUUUUUUUCGAAAAUUACAAAAACAAGGAAGGGGUGAUUUUCUUGCUUCAAUCUUUCAAGAAUACUCACAUACAACAUCAUUCAAGCUAUAUCUAUGGAUUACAUGAUCACUUACCAAACUUUACACCAAAAUAAACUUUCUCUCUCUAGCUUUGAGGCCAAUCUUCAAUGAUCUUCUUGGAUUCCAUUAGAUUGGAGGUGUUUAGGUAAGAUUUAAGAGUGGAUUUAUGUGUUUGGUAUAAUUUUUGAAGCUCCGAAGGUCUCUAUAAUGGUUGAUAAUGGAGGAAAGUGAGAGAUGAGGGAGAGAGGUGGUGUCGAAAAUGGUGAGGAUGGAGGAGAGAGAAUUUUGCAAGAUUGGAAUUGAUAUUGAGAUCUUAAGGAAGAUUUUGAAAUCUUUGAGAAUAUUUGGCAUUAAUUGCCUUGAUCUCUCUCUCUCUCUAAUCUCUACACUCUCUCAAUUAAUACACUUGGCAAUUGUGGUAUUUAGUCACAUGCUUGAGGAAUAAAAUAAUAGUGUGAGAAGGGUGAUUAAAUAAUAACCACAAUAAUUAUGGAAAUAUUACUCAUUAAUAAAAUACCAUAGCAUAAUUAUUCAUGUGACCAAAUAAAAUAAUUAUAGCACUAAUAUUAGUGCACUCACUCAAUUAUAAUAUUCCUCAUCAUAGGAAAAAUAAUUUAAAAAUAUUAUGCUUGGAAAAAUUUCCAUAAACCGUCAUCAUUCGAUUUCUCGGUAAAAAUAAACCACACUUGCUUUGGAAACUUAAUCAAAAUUCCAAGUGCUAAAGUCCUCAAAUAAAAAUACAAUAAUUUACUCAUAAAGACAUACGUAACAAAAAUCACAUAAUCAAUCAGUCACGUAAGUUCACAUAAUAUCACGUCAAAGCAGUUGGCAAACACAAACAAACUAGACGUCUCUCUGACCGACUCUUUUCAUCAAGGUUCUCACUCUAAUUUCUUCCUCGACUCUAUGUCAAACUCAUUAUUCCUAUUUUCUUAAUAGGACAGUCAAUCUCUCUGACAUCUCAGUACUCUCAAUAGUGUUAAGACAUUAUCUCACAACAUAGGGAAAAGUACGGGGUGUUACAUGUACUAUCAAAUUUAGAUAAAAUUCAUGACUUCAUGCAUAAUUUAAAAUUCAUGUGGCUCAUAUAAAUACACUUAAUUCACCAAUUAAAACUUAUGCACCGCAUUUAUAAAAAAAAUUCUUUAACUAAGCACAUUAAAACACAUAUAUAACGAUUAAAUCACAUCAGAUAAAUCAGACCAGUUUUAUUAUUAAUGGAUGCCGAACCCUAAUUAUUAAUAAUUAAGCUCUUAAUCAGGGAUUAAAAGUCGGGGUAUGACAGUAGUGGAGAAAGGGAUUUCAGUUGUCAGACUGACAUUCCCUUUGGUUGAGCUUUUCUGUCCUUCGAACAGACAAAUGGUGGAGGAUGCUUUUCUUUAACUUGUCCGCUCUUGUCUGAUGGAGAUGCCUUCAAAAGGAGUAGGCUCAUCAGUGUUGAAGAGGGGUGAUGAUGAAGGCUGAGGAGUCUCUGUGAUAUCCUCGACUCGUCCUUCAGGAAGUGAGGGAUCAGCAUUGUCAGCUAAUUUCAGUUCUGCUGCAGGCGAUGAGCAGAAAGGUGCAUCUAUUUCAAUGACACCGCCUUGGUCAUCUUCAGCAGAGGUUGGUGGAGGAGUUGACACCAAAUUCAACUGACUGAUUGGAUUAGUCAUCAGUUGUUCAGAAGCAAUGUCUGCUGCAGAUUCUGCUGGAGGAGUAAUCUCAAAAGCAUAUGCUUCUUAGGGAUCCUGGCGCUGUGGCGACGAACUGAGUAAAUCAGCUACUCGUUCAGAGAUGAAGGGCUCUUCAGACGCCUUCGAAGUGCCAGCAUCGUCAUUGAAUGAAGUGGGAUGUCUGGACUGAUUGAAAUAAUUCAGAUAAUUCAUGGCGAAUCUGUCACAGCCAUAGAUUACAUCCCAAACUUUCUCAAUUUGAAAAAGGCUGAUCAAUGAUGCCUCUUCCAUUUCGAAUGAGUCUUCGGUUUGAGUGCUGUGAAGACUGUUGAUCUGGGGGCAGGAUGCCGUUUUCAGGAAAGUAUACUGAGAAGUCUGUGUAGAUUCUGAUAGACUUCAAGUGAUGUAUCGAAAUCACCAAGGAGACGAUGAAGGUGAUUUGAAGCAUCUCGUUGAGCUUUUGAUUGCAGUUCAACGACUUCCUGAUUUUUCUCUAAAAGACCAGUAGAGACUGGUUCAGGGGUAGUUUCCAAGAUAGCUUUGCCUUUGGAUUUCGGAGAGAAAGGCUUUCUGGAGGCAAUCACUGGUUUAGGUUUGGAGAAUUUCUUGGAUGAUUUUUGGGAGAGGGUGGAACGAGAUCAUCGGGGCACAUUUGUGUGGUCGGGAAGAUUUGAUGAGGGGGAUUCAGGGGCUUCUGAAUCUGAAGACUGAGGAGAGGAGAUAUUGAUUACCUUCGACUUUGAAGAAGGCUUGGGUUCUCCUUUUCUAGUUUUGAAAAGUCGAAGACUGUUCGUGAAAUCAAUCAUCUUCGACCAGUGCAAAAAGCGAUGCUUCUUCGUUCCUUGAAUGAUGAUCUGAGAGACUCUGUUCCCCUGUCGAACCAUUGUAGCAGGUCUUGUGUUGUGGGCUUCGUUGAAGAGAAGCUUCAGAUAAGCUUCUUCCUAGUGAAGGAUUUAUCCUUUAGAAGAGCUGCCAUAACAUUUUUCUGGGGUUGAGAGGCCUUGUCGGGUGUUCCGGUUGCCCCUAUCCAGCAUUUCUGGAUGAUCUUGCCCAGCAUGGAGUACUCAGGAUGAAGAUGGGAAAGUGUGACUUGGCUUUCUGUUGAUUCAGAUUCAUCCUUCAGAGCAGACUUAAGAGUGUUGUUGGCUUCUUCAUCAAUCAGGCUGGAAAAAGAAGUUCCACUGUUCGGAAGCUCGAACAGUUUUCUGACAAUCUGAGUGACGUUGAGAGUCGCUUCAACACAAUCUGUCGUGGUGUAGACGCUGAUUUUGGAGAUAAGCUCUCCGGAGCUAUUGAAUUUGAGAUUCUUAUAGAAUUCUUUGACUGCAUCGUUGAGUAGAUAUUGCGCUUCACUGGUGACGAACUUGGUCCAUCCGUGUUGUUUGAGAAUUGUCAAAACUUUCGUGUAUUCAGGCUUCUUUUCGAAAGAGUCCUUGUCCACAAAUUGUUCGUAUCUGACUUCUUUCUUGAUCGGAGCCUCCUUCUUGUUGUCGUUCUUCUUGAUGUUGGUCUUGGCCAUUUUCAAAUGUGAAAUAUGAGAAGAAGAGAAAUUUGCAGAGAGUAAUCUCACAGUAGAGUGUUUGUGGAUUUUGGAGUUAGAGAGAGUGCAAAAGUAAUGGAUGAUGGAGGAGUAGGCAUAAUGAAGGAAGUGUGAUCGUGGAAGAUGAACAGUUUCCCUACGGAAAAUGAAAGGACAUGGGCGGUUUGAAAUCUGCGCGCUUAGUCAGGUUUAAUAAAUUUUGACGUCCGUAAUUAAUGCCCGUCGGAGGAAUACCUUAAAAUAAGAGAUUUAAACUGAUAUGGAAUAUUAGACACGAUCUCUUGCUGAAAAUAGGCGGCGUACAGUGCAUGCAAUGAUUUGAAAAGAUAAGUCCAAGAAGAGGUGUUCAGAUUUAAAAGUCGAAAACCUAAUGCAAAGUCGCCAGUUAAUCAUUAUGACGCACAUGCCCUAAUUUCUUUAUCAGUCAAGGAUAUAAAAACUGAUAAAAACAAGUUGCCAACAAUCAGUUAGGAAAACAGUCAAACACUGAUGAUACUCAAGUAUAGUUCCCCCUAAAUUGGAUAAUCCAUUAUCAACUUAAACAUUAAGGCACAGGGAACAACAAUUGAGUAAAAACAAUCAAAAGUGAAUCAGUUUGGAAUUCAAUGGUAAAGUUGCAUGAAGUACUGAAACACAAAGCAAGGAAAUUUGGACAAAACAAUUCUAAGAACAUCAUUUACAAAAUGAGAAAUUUCUGUUCAAAUGACAUUCCUGGAUUUUCAGUUGUUAGACUGACAUUCCCUUUGGUUGAGCUUUUCUGUCCUUUGAACAGACAAAUGGUGGAGGAUGCUUGAGUGGUGUUCUUCCAGAAGCAUCGAGUUUCUUUCACACUGUGAAGAAUCAGUGAUGAAACUCUGGUUCCCGGACGAAGAUGCUUGGAGGAAUGGGAUUCCUUCUUCUCUGCAGCAAGGAUUUGAAGAUAGGCCUUCUCCCAGUUGAAUGGGCCUUUCUGGAUCAGGGCAAUCAGCACCAGUUUGUGUGGUCUCGAGAGACGACCAGGAGAUCCAAGAGUGCCAAACCAACAUUUCUUGAUCAUUUUGGCGAUUGGUCUGAGAUGAGGAUGUAGUCUUGAUAUGCUCAAAACAUUUGUGAUGUUGAGGUCGACAGGAGCAUUACUCAUCAAUGCAUCUCUCAUGAGAUUCGUGGCUUCGUUAUCAGUGAAGAAUGGUGCGGGUCCCUCAGUUGGAAGGUUGAACACUUCUUUUGUUGCUUGUGAGAUGUUGAUGGAGACCUUCGUGGAAUCUGAGAAGUUUUCAUUGGUGAAAACAGUGAUUUCUGUUCUGAGAUCACCAGUUGACUCAUCAGUCUUGAUGUUGUCGUAGAAUUCUCUAAUGGUCGAUUUGUCGAGAAGAAACUCUGUUGAGCAUUGAAUGAACUUCAUCCAUCCAUGGCGUUCCAAGAUUUCAUUAAUCUUGUUGAACUCGGCAAGAUUCUGGAGUGCCUCAGAUGUUACAAUGGAUUCGUAACAUACACUUUGUUGAGAUGCUAAUUUUGCCAUGUGGGAUUGUGAGUGAAGAAGAUUUCUGCAAAAAUCUGUAAAUUUGUUCUCACAGAGAUUGAACUGUGGAUCUUCACUGUUUGCUUUGAAGAGAUAGCACACUCAAAGAGUUUUUGCACAAAUGAUUUCUCUGAGAUUGAGUAAAUCUUUUUCCGAAGAUGAAACAUUUUUGAAGAGAAUGUGAAAGAUCGUGCACAAGACGGUUUCAAUAAACUUUUGAAAUCCGUGCAAAUGGGGACGUUGCACAUAGAUCACUCUGCUUGUUAGUAAAAAGGGCGGGAUCGUGUGAUCGUGUGUCACCCAUUUUUGAACGAAGUUUACACGUGUCAAUUAAAAAGGAAUGAGAAUGUAAAUACAAUGACACGUCAGACUAAACACAUAUCAGUCGAAAAAGAUAAAGAAAAUCAGUCAUAAGUACAAGUGUGUUUGUUGAGAGAAGCUUACACAGUGACUACCACUAGAUUAGUCGUUGACUGAAGUGCAAUUUCCCCCUGGAGUGUAUGACUGGUUCUCCUUCGGUUACUGAUCUGUCGACUGUUGCUGCACGUUCUUUUCUCGUUUCAUCAUUCUUCUGAACUGAAGUGUUUCUUCAUGAAUCACUUCUUCAAAGACUUCUGACGUCCUUUUGAAUUUUGUCUCUGUUUCCUCGAGACGUGGUAGAAGGUCUUGUUUUUUAGACUGAAGCAGUCUCAGUCUGUUGAUCAGUCUGCGCUCUUGAACAUCUCUUCUGUCAGCUUCGUCUUCAUCUGAAAUGAAGUAGCGCAUGACGAUCCUUCGAGGAUCUUGCACAUGAUCGAUCUCUCUGAUGAUCUGUCUGUGCUCCCUAAUGAGAUUUUCAAAUCUCGUUCUUAGGUGUUGAUACUCUAGUCGAGUUUGAUCAUAUCUGCUCGUUCCUUCUGACUGUGAGUGGGUUGGGCUCUGAUUUUCUUCUGGAAAGAUGAAUCUGUCGUCUUGGUCAGAAUCCAACGUCCCAAUCUCAAGUCCGUUGACUCCUCGAAAGUAUGUAUGGACAUAGUCGCUGGGGGAGUCUUUCUUGUUCCUGUACAUUAGAGGGAAAGCAAGGAGAAGCACACAGGAAGCAGGAGGAAAAUACGGAGCAAGCAAUCUCAAGAGGAAUCUUGAGAAAAGAUUUUGAUCAAAAACUAAGUACCCUCAUUAGGAUCUAGUUCAGUUAGAACUUAAUCAAAUACAGAGUGUUCUUGCGAACAACCUGCUCUGAUACCAAUUGUUAGGUCCCGGAGGGUCUCGAAUAGGUGUAUGCGGGGGGGGGGGAGGGGAAUACACCUAUGGGCUAUUUUUCUUUUCCUCAAAGUGAGGGAUCUCCAGAUAGAGAUCUAAACGAAACUUUACACGCAAACAGUGACGCCUGUUGACUGAAAAUAGUUUUGAUCAAACAGGGGUGACGACUGAUACUGAAAGCUCUUCAGUAAGGAGUUAUCAGUUAAGUUACUGGAACUUAACUGAUGCACUUAUGGGCUUCAGUCGAGUUUGCUAAAAUAGAGAUGAUAACACUCUUCCUGACUAUCAAAAGAUAGAUCAGUCAGACUGAUAACAUACGCAGCGGAAAUUAAACUUAGUUUCGCAAUAGCCUCGGUUGAGCACGUUGUUGGUCUUAGGUUUCUCUUUGCAGUUAUUCAGUAUUCAGUUUAUCAAUUGAAACAACAAAAGUAGUAAAGUAAAACUGAAAGAUGUAAACAACACAGAGACUUUUACGUGGUUCGGAAAAACCCUUUCCUACAUCCACGGUCGGUUGAUCAGACCAACAAUCCACUCCGCAAGUGCUUAACAGGUGCACUGCAAAUCAAACCGUGUGCUUCCGGUGCACACAACCGUACCACUGAAGAAAACCCUUCUUCAAUACCCACACUUCACUCGUGUCGGAUUUCUCUUGCUUAGCACAACCCGCGCUAAGACUCUCAGAGUCAGAGUACCUUCCUGAACUCCGAAUCACUCAAACACUCGAAUCUUUCUGUCUGAAAUGAGGUUUGAACGGGUGCUAACUUCACUGCAAAGAACAAGUUCUUUGUAGCAAGUUUGACCUUGGCUUCUAGUAAACAGAGGUUUGCCUAAGGUCUAAGAGAAUGUAUGUAAUCAGCAGUGACUGAUUUUGGCUUUAGAAUUCUCUUCUUCGAUUCAAGCUUUAGAGAGGUUUAAGCUUUAGGCUGAGUAGCAAUUUUGGGAGAGCUUCAGCUUAUGUCGUUGAAUCGGUGAAGGUUGAAGUGAUCCUCGAGCGCUAUUUGUAGGAGAACUCUUGAAUAGAUCCGUUGGCGUAGAACGUCCUCAAGAUUUCUUCUGUUGGAGAGCAAUUCGAAUUUGGGUUGAGGCUUCAAUCUUCGAGGUUCCUUGUCUGGUGGAAACGGCUCUCUUGAGGGACAGGAGAUGUGACGUCUCUGAUAAAGUAGCCACCAAAUAGGAAUGACCUCUGCAGAGAUAAGAUCCUGAGAUCUCUGCAUUUAAUGCGGAUGUACUUUUAUGAGUAAGUGGCUUCCUUUGAACGUUGGAAGAUCAGUCCGAGGAAGAAUGUUCAACUGAUACUUGACUUUAGUAUCAGUCCGUUGAGUCCACGUGGCACGAUUAAGUAAUCAGUUCCAAACUGAUUCGUCAACUGAUACUUCAGUUGGUAUCUUCAGUCUUCAGUCUUCAGUCCUUCGUCCUUCAGUCUUCAGUCUUCAGUCUUCAGAACCGCAAGCUAAACUAGAAACGAACUCUAACACUUGAGUUCAAAACAGUUCUAGUCUAUUACAAUUAUGACCUAUGAAUUUUGGUAUCAUCAAAACAAGGAUUAGGAUAUUCCACAAAGUUUCCAACAGUGAUCACCUCUAUAAUCAAUAUCACCAUUUUUCACACUUUGUGUGCUUAAGUUUUCGACAGUUGUGCCAUAAUUCAUGAAAUAAAAAUCAUUUGGAUGUAAUCCAAAGUCUUUACACGUGGUUUCCCAUGCUCAUAGUUAGACUAGAGGAGCAGAGACUCAGAGCUGUCACGUUUCAGAGCUGGCAUUUUCAGAACUGGCAAUUCGUCCAGCAUUUUUCACAUUUCACAGAUAAGGAUACGAUCGUAGGCAAUCACAAUGACAACACUUCUUCUAGAAUCUGCCGGACAAAUCACGUUUUACUUACUUACAAUCGUGUUUCAACAAAACUCAUAAUUCCUUGCACAAACAAGAAACAUAUAUCAAAAGUAAAACAAGAAUAACCACCAUUCAUUCACAAACCCGAAAUUCACAUCGAAAAUCAUCUUCUCUUCCAUAAAUUCAUAAAAAAAUAGCAAGUAUCAAAUAAUAAGCCAAGCAUAAAGAGAUCAAUCGCCCAAUUGAAAGCAUAAGCAAAACAAGACACCCCCCCCCCACACUUAAAGCAUGCCAUGUCCUCAGGGCACAAAGAUAAAAAGAGUUAGAAGAUAUCUCUGAUUAUCGGCAUUGAAAAGCAUAAGCUCUGUGAGAGGCGGCAAAAAAUGAGGUUUGCGGUCUGUGGCAGAGUAGAAAUGUCAGCGCUGGCAUUUUCAGAGUAGAAAUUCAGAUCUGAAUCUGGACGGCAGAGUCAGAGUAAAAGUGCAGCGCUGGCGGCAAAGUCAGAGUAGAAUUGCAGCGCUGGAAACAAAAACGUUAACACCCAAAAAUCAAAGCAUCCGCACAAGUAACCAAAGACAAGGAAAACACAAAAACGAAAAGCAUAAAACAAGAUAAACAAAAACUAAAACAAAACCAACAGUGGGUUGCCUCCCACUAAGCGCUAGUUUUAAAGUCGCCAGCCCGAUGUAGAGGAACCCUUAACCAAAGUCACUAUGAAAAGUCAGCUGAAUUAAUCCUUUUGAAAGCACAUCCUCCUCUAUUUCAGCUGCGGGUCCUCUUAAUGAGCAAGCAGUGCUCUUCACAUUCAUCAUUCUCUCGAACCAAGAGCUAGGUCGAGAGCUCAUUUCUUCCUUCUUCUCCAAGAGCGGUACACUCUGCAAUCUUUGCACAAUAUCAUCUUUGCAUUGCAGCACAUCAGCCCGUUCUUCCUCAACGUUUGCGUCCUCUUUCACGUUAGUCGGAACUUCUUGCUCUGCAUUAAAGUCGAGUGGAAGCUUAGCCAAAAAUUGAUCUUCAAUGGCCUCCCCAUUUUGCAGAUUGUCCAGAAAAUUCUGCAUAAUUUUGUCCUCUUCUGGGCUAGUGCUCAUCAAAUUCUCCUCUGUAAAAUUCUGGCAUGUGUUCUCCAGAGCUGGCGAACUGAUCAGAGCUGGGCUCGUCAGAGCUGGCGAAAGAAUGUCUACUCUGGCGUUCAAUGUCAGAGCUGGAGUAGUGGACAGAGCUGGCGGAACAGUCAAAGCUGGAGUGGUAGGCAGAGCUGGCAGAACGGUCAGAGCUGGAGUGCUAGGCAGAGCUGGCAAAAGACUGUUAGCGCUGAAAAUUUCCACUUCUUCUACAUGGUCAGAGAUCUCAACAAGAUAACAUAUAUGCAUUGAAGAAUUAGAAAUAACAGGCUUCUUAUCAUAAACUGAGAACGUUACCGAUCUACCCGACCUGGCCAUACUCAAAGUUCCAGAACCCACAUCAAUGCACGUCUGGAUAGUAGCCAUAAAAGGCCGGCCAAGUAGAACAAGCUGCCUAUUCUCUCCGGUAAUACCUUACCCUGACUCGAGCACCACAAAAUCUGCCAUUACCUUAAUUCCUCUCACCGUGACUUCGACAUCCUCCAAAAGACCACGCGUGCUGCUAAUUGCUCCGUCAACUAGCUGAAGUCUAGUAUUCGUGCAUUUAAGCUCAUCUUCCUUCCUGCCCAAUUUCUGAAAAAUAGCAUACGGCAUCAAAUUGACUGUCGCACCCAAGUCUAGCAUGCCCGUGAACUCUCCAGCUUGACCCAAACCAAUAUCAAUAAUGAAACUCCCUGGAUCUUCUUGCUUCGGUAAUGGUUGGGUUGGAUCAACAAUUGAUGGUGGCAGAGGCGGGCUGGGAUUCAGUGGUUGAUAUGGCGUAGUGGAUUUGUGAAGUUUCUGCUCUGGCCUUAUCAACUCUGGCGCUCUUCUCUGCUCUGACGCCCUUCUCCUCUGCUCUGGCUGCCAAGUCAGAGCUGACAUCCUAAUCUGCUCUUGUAUCCUCGCCAGAGCUAGCGCCUGAUUUAUUUUCCCGGACUGCUGCUGCUGCAAUUGGUUCAAGGUUCCCGACAGCUGCCCCACGGUGGUCUCAAGUCUUUUUAUGGUUGCAGACUGAGAUUCCGAAUUCUGCUUGGUCAUCUCCAUGUUCUGCUUGCUUAUCUCCAUAAACGAUUGCAUCGUCUCCUCUAAAGACUGUUUCUGCUUUUGAAACUGUGGAGCAUUCUGAAAUUGUUGAGCAGGCUGAAAAAUUCCUUGCUGCUGACCUCUUCAUCCACCAUUGAAAUUCUGCUGGCCUUGGUUAUAAUCUAUGCUCUGCGCAGGGAUAGGUGCAGCUUCCGCAUGGCUCAUCAUGAGUUGUUGUACUUCUCUCAUGAUUGACGCUAAUUGUUACUGCAGCUCAUACUGGUGCGUCACAGCGCUGGCCUCAACUCUCUUUCCAUGCACCGACUUUUGUUGAGAGCUCUCCGCUAAUGUUUUGAAUAUUUCCUUUAGCUCUGCUACAGUCUUCUGAGCUAUGUUCCCUCCUGUCGUGCUGUCCACCAUGAAUUGGGCAGUUUGCACUAACCCGUCGUAGAAAAAUUGUAUCAACAUCACAUUGGUAAAUUGAUGUUGCGGGCACUGGCGGAGGAGUUCUUGGAAUCUUUCCCAAGCCUCAUGAAAAGGCUCGUCCAUUCCUUGGGUGAAUUCCAUGAUUUGGGUUCUGAGCUCCUGUGUCUUGUGGCUCGGAUAGUACUUUAGCAUGAACUUCUCACAAGCUUCUCCCCAAGCGGUGAUGGAGUUGGGCGGCAGAGUUAGCAUCCAUGUCCUCGCCCGAUCUUUAAGUGCAUAAGGGAAGCACUUGAGCUUUAAUUGGUCCUCCGUGAGAUUCAGCAAUGGUAUGGUUUUCACUUGCGUGCAAAAAUCACGGAUGAACUGUAGGGCAUCUUCACUCAGCAUCCCGUGGAACAGAGGUAGCAGACUUGAAUCAUUCGGCUUCAAGUUGUAGUUUCAGACGACGGUAGGGAGCACAAUAGCCGAGGUGUUAGUGUCUCCUAUGACGGGCCGGGUGAAAUCUCCCAUGUACUGUAAGUUGUCUUAUGCCAUCUCCUUCUUCUUCUUGUUUGUGUUCUGCUCUGAUCGGUCAGCAAGGUCAGAGCUGGCUUCCUCAUUCGUGUUUAUGAUCUGCUCUGUCGUGUCUAUGGUAUGCUCUGUUCGGUCAGAGUCAGAGCUGGCUGGAAGCUCUGUAGGCUUGUCUUCUUCCGUGUCUACUGUCUGCUCUGGAAGGUCAAAGUCAGAGUCAGUGUUCGAUCUAGAGCCAGAGUCAGAGUAGAAAGCCUCUGCUCUAACACGUUCCUUUCCCUCAGAGUCAGACUCAGAAUCGUUUGCUUUGUCCUCUGCAAAAACACCUUCGCAGCUGUUCUAUCUUAAAAUCCCUUCGCUCGCACUAUGCAAUGGGGACACAAGUUUGCCUUUAAGACUACGGCGUCCCUGCAUGCACAACACUGAACAAACGGAUUAAAAACACCGGGUGGGAGAAAAGUAAAAAAAAUAAAAUAAAACGUAAAGUAAAGAAAUCAAGUAAAAAACAGAAAGAAAAGUGACACAACUAAAAAGCCUAAAACUUUCCCUGGCAACGGCGCCAAAAUUUGACUCAACUAGAACACCUCUAGAUUGAUUUGCAAUAGGACAAGGACACUCUAGCAGUGGUAAGCUAACCCAAUGUCGUCUCUCAAGGAAGAUCUUAAAGGGCUUUUAAUUAUGUCACAAGAAAACGGUAAACUAGGGAUUAUUAAACUAAAACUGGGAAAGUAAACUUACGUGAAAACUAAACUUAACUUGAAAGUAAACUUAAACUUGUAAAUUUAACUAGGCAAGAAACUAUUAAACCCUAGGCAAGAUUUAAACGAACUUAAAGUAAAAGCAACUUAAGAAUUUAAAUACUAACUAGGAAUUUAAAGACUUGUAAAUUAAAAGCUUCUAAUCUAAUGAUCAUAAAACAAAAUUGCAGAAUUUAAAGGAAAGCAUCAUAAAACGCAUAAACUAAAUUGCAUAAUUUAAAAGUGCAGAAUUUAAAUGUGCAGAAUUUAAAGAAACACAAAAACGUAACAAAGCAAGUAAAUUAAAAUAAAUACUGAAAUACCGUAAAAUGUCUCGAGAAGCAACCUGUCACGUGAUUACAACUCUAAACGGAAACUAACUAAAACUUGAAUUGAAACAACUAUGAUAAACUAACUAGAACAGAAAUCGAAACUAAGAACUAUGAAAGCAAUAAAAACCUAAACUUUAACUACCUAGGCGGAAACUAAAGAUUAGGGCAAAGGGAUUGAAUCUAACUAAGUCUAACUAAGUGCCGGAGGCCAAAAGAAUUCACUCUUCAUUUACGUUCAAGCCCCCUUUUAUAGACUUCAAUCCAAUCCUAAUCAUCAUCAAACUCACCUUGCAAAACUAGACUCUUAAGGAAAUAGAAUCGUAAACUCAAAGGUAAUCCAGCUGGCAGCGUGCUCUGCAAGUAAUCUCAACUCUGGCGAAAAUUGGCUAACUCUGGAAGUUCGGCUCUGGAAAGGUUUGGCAGAGCUAAAAGUCAGCUCUGGAAUUAGCGAGCUCUGGCGAAUAUGGCUGAGCUGAAAGUCAGCUCUGCAAAGUUCAGCUCUGCAAAAAUAUGUUGACUCUGGAGAAUAGUCAGCUCUGUCGAUUCUUCCCAGCUCUACUCUGUCGAGUUUACUCUGGUCUGACAAGUUAGCUCUGUUCUGACAAGUUUGUUCUGCUCUGGAGAUUUCAGCUCUGAUAGGGAAGUUCAGCUCUGGAGAUUUCAGCUCUGCUCUGCGCGCGGGCUUUUCAACUCUAGCGCGGGCUUUUCAGCUCUGGCGCGGGCUUUUCAGCUCUGAACACCAAUUUACGCCAGAUUACUCAAUUCUAACCCAAAAAUCUCCAAAAUCACACUCUUCCAUAUAUAAAACCUAAAUCUCCUGCAAAGCAUAAAACAAACCACAAACGCACCAAUUUCCAGAAUAUUUAACUUAAAAUACGCACAUACAAACCCUUAAAAUAUGAACAAUUAGGCAUAAAUCAAUAGGUGUUUCAUUUGUGAUUUCUGCCAUGGUAAAGAUAAAAAUAAAAAAACAAACUAAAGGUGAAUAUCAAGAGACAUGUCUGGUGAAGCAUGAAAUCAAUGCCUAAUCUAAAAAGCAAUAAUCGAGACAGGAUUUACGUGGUUCGGUCAUUAAGACCUACAUCCACAGGUGUUCUUCGAGUUCUUCGACUAUAUUGUGAGAUAAUUACAUUGUACAAGUGUUGCUCAGAAAUAAAUCAUCCUCCUAAUGCUUAAAGCUAACCUUCUAUUUAUAGAUGUGAGAGUGGGCCCUAAAGGCCUUAGGCCCAUGAACUCUAAUAAUUGGACUUAGGCCCUUUAAUGCCUUAAUAUACCUUAGUCUUGAUUUGACCCAUCUACGUUGUCCUUCGUUGGUGAAGCGGGUAACUCCGGUUCUAGCAAUUCCAGCUCUGCGCUCUGGCUGCGCCGCUGUUCUACGUUGCUGUGCUGCGCUGCUCUGGCUACGUUGCUCUGGCUGCGCAGCGCUGCUGCGCUGCUCAGGUCUGGUUGCGCAGCUCUGCUGCGCUGCUCUGCUCCGUGCUGCUCUGCUCUGGCUGCGCAGCGCUGCUGCGCUGUUCUGGUCUGCGCUAGUGGUGUUGCACUCUAGCAAGGCAGCAGCUCUGCACUUUGGUCAAGGCUAAUUGACUCUUCGUAUUCAUUUGUUAGCAAGUCCUUUUAGAUAGACCUGCGCUCAUUAGUUCCUGUGAUAAUAAUAAUAACAAUAAUCAGGUAAAGUAGACUUAAACUACUAAGCACAGCACUGAUGAGUAUUCCAGUCCUCAUCAGUUACUCCCCCCCAGUCUGGUUGAACUGUGUCUUCUUCGUUGUUCAACCAGUGGUGUGUGAUAUAGAGUCAGCGCUGUGCUGCUCUCCCGUGUCAAUUAAGUAUACAUGAUUCCCUGCACUUGUUAGAUAAGAACUUGUCAAUCUUCGUAAGAAUAGUAAAGACAAAGUAUUUCAGCGCUGCAAAUGAACCAAGAUAAAAUAGAGUAAUUUUUCCUUCGAAUUAUUUGGAUGUCAUCAAUGAUGACUAACUUAAGGCUCAAGUAUCCGCAGAGCGGCUGAGUUGCCACUUAAGGCUCAUCCCCAGUCUAACUUUCGCGGCUUACGAUGUUUCUGCGCGGAGCAUAGACAUUGAGGCCUUCGUCGUGCAAUUAAUGCCUUGAAUUUUGCAAUUAAUGCUGGUUUGCAAUUAAUGCCUGUGUGCAAUUAAUGCUUGAAUUUGCAAUUAAUGCCUUGAAUUUUGCAAUUAAUGCCCUCGUCGUGCAAUUAAUGCCUUGAAUUUUGCAAUUAAUGCCCCUGUCUAACUUUCGCGGCUUACAAUAUUUUUGCGCGGAGCAUAGACAAUCAAAGAACCCUGUCUAACUUUCGCGGCUUACAAUAUUUUUGCGCGGAGCAUAGACACUGUGAACUGACAACGACUCGGACAUUCUGCGCCGACCGAGAUAACUGAGAUAACUGUUUUCCCUGUACUUGAAAUAGCUGCUCUGACUGCGCUGAGAUAGUCACACUGGUUGCGCUGAUACAAUCGCACUGACUGCACUGAGAUAGCCAUACUGGCUGCGCUGAGAUAAUCGCACUGGUUGCGCUGAUAUAAUCGCACUGACUGCACUGAGAUAGCCAUACUGGCUGCGCUGAUAUAAUCACACUGGCUGCACUGAGAUAAUCGUACUGGCUGCACUGAGAUAGCCACACUGGCUGCACUGAGAUAAUCGUACUGGCUGCACUAAGAUAGCCACACUGGCUGCACUGAGAUAAUCGUACUGGCUGCACUAAGAUAGUUAUGCUGAUAAUUUAAGCGCUGAUUGCACUGAGAUAACUAAGAUAGUUCCCCCAGCCAAGACAACUGAAAUGACUGAGACGGCUGCGCAGGCUAAAAUAACUGAAAAAAAUUGAGAUUGCUGCGCAGGUUGAGAUGGCCUACCCUGACUGCGCUGAGAAAGCUCCGAUAAAUUCUGAGGCUGAUAGUUGUGCAGGCUGAGAUAGCCUGUCCUGACUGCGCUGAGAAAGCUCAGAUACAUUCUGAGGCUGAUAGCUGCAUAGGCUGAGAUAGCCGCAUUGGUUGCACUGAGAAAGCUCAGAUACAUUCUGAGGCUUACAGUUCCGGAUCAUGGCUAAGUUACCAUUUAAGGUUUUAAUAUCCGCUAUGCGGCUGAGUUGCCGUUAAGGCUCAAAUAUCCUGCUAAGUUUUUUGAGAGAACACACAUGGUGGUACAUACUCCACUCCCCCCCUUAGUAACAUGUGCAUGAUUCAACAAAACAUGUUAUGUGUAUGCUUGUGAUUGGUGUUCCUACUUGUGAUGCUAGUGACAGCGCUGUUAUGACUAUGGUCCCAAAGUAUGUUAUUCAAAUUAUGUUCCAGGUCCUAGCACUGCAGCAGGUGUGCAGCUUCGUGUACUUAGUCAAUUCAUAUUCCAGCCCUGGGCACAUAUGCAGAAGAUGUGCAGCUUCCAAGACAUAAUUAUUAUUGCAUAAAUCCCAACAUAGAUAAUAUUAGUCAUGCUUAUGUCCAAAAGCUAAGGUAUAACAUUUCCUAGUUCCCAAUCAUGUUUUCAUGCUUCGAUGAAAUAGCUUAGAUCAUGUAGUAAGGGACUAUAGUUCUGCGAAGUACCUGCGUCACCACUUGUUAGUGGGUGACCUUCUCAUGUGUAUGGUGUUUACCAUAUUUGUUCAAGUCUUUCCCCCAGAGAUGUUUACCCUGUGCUGUAAGAAUUCUUAAGCAAAAGUAUUAGUAAAAUAUGACAGCGCCUUAAGAUAGGGCUAUGAACUUAUUUAAGAAAUAUAUAUACUUUGCGUUCCCAGAACGACAGCGCUGCCCUGUCCCUAUUCACACUUGACAUUUUGACAGUUGAUAUUCAUAGAUAAAUCAAGUCUACUUCAAUAGGAGAAUUUAAUGUACUAUGCCGAUUUUGAAUUUGUCAAGUCAAGGUGUUAUCACGAUUGACAUCCGCAAUCUGGCGUAAGUAUAAGCAUGCCUUCCCCUGUCUAAACAGAUUAUUCAACGGCAAUCGAUCGUGAGUUACGCAACUUGAGGUGGAAUAAAAAGGAUUACUAAUAAAGCAUUAAUGCCAGGUGAACUUAAUGCCAGGUGAACCGAAGAGCUGCCAACAUAUCUCCCUUACAAUUAAGAGCAAUACAGACCUCUGUAGAAUAAAAUUUCAGCACAGAUUAUUCAACCAUCAGAAUUUAUUCAUCAACCGAAUUAGUCAUCUCUCAAUAUAACUUCCAAUUAUCAACCAGCAGUUGAUCCUCUUUCAAGUUCAAAGACAAAGCAGGCGGCCUCCCUCGAUCCAUCUUUUCUUCCCCAAUCAUAUUUUAUGAGGAUUAUAACUUGUUCUGUUGUGUCUCCCUUGCGGCAGAAAUAUUCCAGCUUGCUGAGGCUGCGUGAAGUAAGAAUUCUAUAGCUAUUGGGUUCAGCCAUUACCGCCAUCAGUUAAUGUUUUCACCCAAUGAUGAUUUCUUUAAGAGAUCAAGCCUUCCACGUUGUCGUGAUAUUAACAUGCCCUUGCACAGAGUAUCAAACAAGAUCACACAAGAUUUUAGGCAAAGUUAGUAGACCGAACUGAGGGACUAAGUCCUUCAUGCGACUAAUCAGGCAAAGCCUUUAUAAAUGACAAUAUCCUCAAUCAAGGUCAUCAUAUCAAGGUUCAAAGUUUGUGCAGAAGCAGAGGUAAUAAACCUAGCUUUUAUAAGGGAGUGGGCUGCUGCUCUGCUCUGAAACUGGGAAGAAUGAAGCGGCGAUCACACUUUCGUCAUGCAUCGUAACUCGGGGCAAUGAAGAUGAGCCCGUGAACUGCGAUGGAAAUUACUUCGAAAUUGGCCCGAUUUCCACCAUAGCCGACAGCCAACGGCCGGCGACCUGCACAGUGACAGCACUCAACACCCUGCCCGAACAGCGGAGCUCCCUUUCCCGAUUUAUCCUUCUCUCAGACAUUAGAAUCACAUCGCCCAAGGUAUUUCAAACGUAGGCUUCAUAUUUCUCCAAUGUCUUCGGAAUAUCUGUUGUUGACGCGAAGAUUCCUAAAUUAGAUCCAAAAUGUUUCCAAGAAAUUUGGGAAACCCACCCCCUUUGAGGAAGAAACUCUAUGAGAUAAACGGGUUGUUCAGCCCGGCCUUUGACUGAGGAUUGCCCAUACUUAGCGAUUAUUUGCUGGAGACACAAGGAAACAUGAAUAACCAUCAGGAUUUUCCAAGAUUUGCAAUAAAUUGCUGACAAAUUCAUAUUGAGUAAGAAAAUUGGGGGUUUUCCCCUAUACCAAUGGUCGGCUCAGAGGAUGGGAGCUCGGUGCGGCGGUGGUGGCUGGUUUUUGCUGCGAUUGGGGUCUUCGAUCUGAGGUUAAAGUCAUGGAAGAAGGGCGGCGGCUUCAAUCGAAACCUACGUUGAACCUGGUCUAGAUUGGCUGAUCAGCCUCUACGCUUAAAGACAGCAGCAGAAGGCUCUUCGGCCGAGGAUCCGGCGACUGAUUCGACUGAAUCGACGAGUCCUAACAGAUUUUUCGGUCGAUUGCAUUUUCGGUUCCAAAAUUGGCGAGACAGCUGGGAAUUAUCAAGAACUGUUGUGAACUGAGAGAUGAUGACUUGGUCGAGAUCUUAGAAUCGGAGUUGGUGUGAUUUAGAAAAUCGGUGGAAUUUUGGAUCAGUCCUGAUCGCCGAGUUGAAAGACUCCGAUUGGAGAAGGAGAGGUCGGCGACCAUCCUUUUUUGGAAAGUGAAGAAACGGAUGAACAGUAACCUGACUUGAAUAACGACCUAAAUCCCUAAUUUCCCAAAAAAAAUCGAUGAACAGUAACCCCGAUGAACAGUACUUCUCCGGUGAACAGUACCCCCAAAUUUCCAUUUUUAGAGGCUCGUCGGAACUCACGACGUAGCCCCCGUUUCCCACAGACGGCGCCAGUUGGUGAAGCAUGAAAUCAACACCUGAUCUAAAAAGCAGUAAUCGAGACAGGAUUUACGUGGUUCGGUCGUUAAGACCUACGUCCACGGGAGAUCUUCGAGUUUUUCCACUAUGCUUCGAGAUAAUUACAUUUUACAAGUGUGUUGCUCCCAAGUAAAACCAUCAUGCCUAAUGCUAAUGCUAAUAUUCUAUUUAUAGAUGUGAGAAUGAGCCCUAAAGGCCUUAGGCCCAUGAACUCUAAUAAUUGGAUUUAGGCCCGUUAAUGCCUUAAUACACCUUAGUCUUGAUUUGACCCAUCUGCGCUGUCCUUCGUUGCCCGUGUUGAGUAGCUUGGGUAGUCUGCGCCGCCAAGUAGCUUGGGUAGUCUGCGCUACCAAGUAGCUUGGGUAGUCUGCGCCGCCAAGUCCCUUAGUCUGCGUUGCCGAGUCCCUUCGUCUGUGCUGCCGAGUCCCUUUAUUAUCUGAGGUCUUCAAUUAAACCUGCGCUGGUUAGCUUCGUUCAAUAACAAUAAUAAUAACAAUAAUAAUAAUCAAGUAAGAUGUUCUUGUAUUGCCAAGCACAGCGCUGAUGAGUAUUCCAGUCCUCAUCAGCUACUCCCCCUAGUCUGGUUGAACUGUGUCAUCUUUGUUGUUCAACCAGUGGUGUGUGAUAUAGAGUCAGCGCUGUGCUGCUCUCCCGUGUCAAUUAGGCAUACAUGAUUCCCUGCACUUGUUAGAUAAGAACUUGUCAAUCUUUGUAAAAAUAGUAAAGACAAAGUAUUUCAACGCUGCAAAUGAACUAAGAUAAAAGAGAGUAAUUUUUCCUUUGGAUUAUUUGGAUGUCAUCAAUGAUGACUAACUUAAGGCUCAAGUAUCCGCAGAGCGGCUGAGUUGCCACUUAAGGCUCAUCCCCAGUCUAACUUUCGCGGCUUACGAUGUUUCUGCGCGGAGCAUAGACAUUGAGGCCUUCGUCGUGCAAUUAAUGCCUUGAAUUGUGCAAUUAAUGCCUUGAAUUUUGCAAUUAAUGCCUUGAGUUGUGCAAUUAAUGCCUUGAAUUUUGCAAUUAAUGCCCUCGUCGUGCAAUUAAUGCCUUGAAUUGUGCAAUUAAUGCCUUGAAUUUUGCAAUUAAUGCCCCUGUCUAACUUUCGCGGCUUACGAUAUUUUUGCGCAGAAUAUAGACAAUCAAAGAACCAUGUCUAACUUUCGCGGCUUACAAUAUUUUUGUGCGGAGCAUAGACAUUGUGAACUGUCAACGACUCGGACAUUCUGCGCCGACCGAGAUAACUGAGAUAACUGUUUUCCCUGUACUUGAAAUAGCUGCUCUGACUGCGCUGAGAUAGUCACACUGGUUGCGCUGAUGCAAUCGCCCUGACUGCACUGAGAUAGCCAUACUGGCUGCGCUGAUACAAUCGCACUGACUGCGCCGAGAUAACCACACUGGCUGCACUGAGAUAGCCACACUGGCUGCGCUGAUAUAAUCACUCUGACUGCACUGAGAUAAUCGUACUGGCUGCACUGAGAUAGCCACACUGACUGCACUGAGAUAAUCGUACUGGCUGCACUGAGAUAGCCACACUGGCUGCACUGAGAUAAUCGUACUGGCUGCACUAAGAUAGUUAUGCUGAUAAUUUAAGCGCUGAUUGUACUGAGAUAAUUAAGAUAGUUCCCCCAGCCAAGACAACUGAAAUGACUGAGACGGCUGCGCAGGCUAAAAUAACUGAAAUUAGUGUCUCUUCCAUUUCUAUCUUGACUUAUUUCAAAGUUAUGAUCAGAAACGAAGAACAAUAUAUUAGUAUAGGAGUGGUGAUCCAUUAAAUUAGUGAUUCAAGAUUUGAAAAGUUAAUUAAGGAAAUUCGCAGAUUUAAUUAUCGGAUGAGAUCGUCUGUCCCACAAUUUAGUGUGUACCACCGUGUAUCACUCCUAUUCUCUUUAUUUUAUAAUUAUUUUUUAUAAAAUAAAAAUUAUUACUCCUUCCGUCCACCAAUUCAAGGCCUACUUGCCUUUUUGGUCCGUUCACAAAAACAAGGCCUACCUAUUUUUGGUAAGUUUUUAUUCAUUAUUUAAUCAAAAAAGUCAAAGAUUCUUUACAAAAAAGUGGGACCCUUUCUCCACUCAACUAAUAAAAAUACACUUUUUCUUAAAAAGUGGGACCCUUUCUCCACUCAACUAAUAAAAAUACAUUUUUUCUUAAAACCCGUGUUUUUUCAUAUAGGCCUUUAAUUGGUGGAUGGAGGGAGUAUUAGAUUAUGAAAUCUAAUUAAUAUUUAUCACUGAAAAUUGAAAUUUUAAAAAAUUAUAUACCCUAACUUUGAAUUAAUUAACCCAAAUAAUCUAUUAUUAAUACAAAUAAAUAUAAAAAAAAUAAUUGUAAACUCUACUUGGAUGACUGAACCCUUGUUAGAGCAUUUACAACAAAUCUCUCAAAAGUAAUCCUAACUUUAAAUUUGAGUUAAAAUAAUAAAAAGUGAAAUAAAAUGAUCAUCCAAUAUAUCACCUAUAUUAAGUUGGGCCCACAAAAAAAUUUACACCCCUUCAAAUCUAAUCCUAAAUACACCCCUUAAAUCUAAUCCUAAAUUUAUAAAAUAAAUAAUGAAAAAUAGGAGAGCUGUUGUGAGCAAUUGUAAAAUAGGGGUUAAAAAUAAUUUAGAAAAGACUUUAAGAGUAUUUUUAAGAGUAAAUUUUGAGAGAUCUGUUGUGGAUGCUCUUAAUUAUCUUUAUAUUAUAUUAAAGCAUAAUAAAUUAAAAUUGAAGAAAAAAUAAUUAAAAAUUAUAUCAAAUUAAGAGUGAUACACAUUAAAUUGUGGGACAGAGGAUCCCAUUUGCAGAUCUAUACAACUAACUAAUGAUUAAGUUUUAUGUUAUUAUUAUUAUUAUUGUUAUUAUUCUUUUCUUAUUAUUAUUUUGUUGUUGUUAUUGUUAUUUUGUUCUUACUAUUUGACUGAGAACUUUUUUCUUUUUCUUUGGUAGGCAUUGAAGAGUAGGACUACUUUUUUUCUUUUUGUUUGGUAGGCAUUAAAGAGUACUUUUAUCUUUUACAUAUUCUAUAACUGAAUCUCUUCUUUCGCACUUCAGAUCUAAUCUCGCUGUCGCCGCCCAACACUCUCUCUUUUCUUUCUUCACAUUAAAUCUCACCGCCGAUUAAGGAUGAUGGCCAGAAGAGCUGUUGUUUCUGCAAUUGAUCUCAUUCAUCGAAGACGAUUUCUCAAUCGAUGGUCGCAGCAUCAAUCGGGUAUUCUCUCUCCUCUGUUCUCUCUCUUCUCUUCCGAGGCUUUUCAACCUAAGCGGUCUAGAAUCGAUUUCAGUUGUGUUAAAGAAGUAGACGAUGUUAUUCAAUUGUUUCAAAAAAUAAAGAAUAUGCGGCAAGAGCCUUCUGUUCUCCUGUAUAACAAACUCAUGAGUGUUAGUGUAACGAUUGAGCAGUACUCUUUUGCCCUUGAUGUGUUCGGUGAAAUGCUUAGGAUGGGUGUCCCGGUUAAUGAUUACACAAGGAAUAUUGCUGUUAACUGUUGUUGUCUCUUGAAAGAUAUAAACUCUGGUUUUUGUAUAAUGGGAUUCUUUUUCAAGAUCGGUUACGAACCAGAUACUGUGACAUUCUCCACUCUCAUUAACGGAUUUUUCUUAGUUGAUAAGGAGGCCGAAGCCGUGAAAUUGUUUGAAAAGGUUCUCGAUUUAAAACUUUGUGAACCUAAUGCUGUUAUGAUUCUGCAUGUGAUAGAUGGGCUGUGCAAAGCUGGACAGGUCAUUGAAGCCCAUGAUUGGCUUCAUAGAUUAGAAAGUAGUGGAUGGAGUCCCAAUGUUAAGGCUUAUAGUGCACUAAUUGAUGGAUUUUGCAAAGGUGGAAUGGUGGACAAUGCCUUCAAGGUUCUAACCAAAAUGGUUGGGAAGGGUAUUUUACCUAACGUUGUGACUUAUACUUCCAUGAUUAAUGCAUACUGUAAGGAAGAAAAGAUGGAAGAGGCUGAAAAUAUGUUGGAAAUAAUGACGCAACAAAAUAUUUGUCCCGAUGUCUUUACUUAUUCUUCGCUUAUUGAAGGGCUGUGCCUGAAGGGUGAAAUCGAAAGAGCGAAACAGUUACUUGAUUCCAUGGUAGAGAGGGGCCUUAAACCCAAUAUUGUUAACUAUAACACCUUGCUAAAUGGAUAUUGCAAGAAGGGAAGCGUGGAUGAAGCUUGGCUUAUUUUUCUUGAAAUACCUGGUAAAGGUCUCGAGCAUGAUGUGCAAACUUAUAGUACAUUAUUGGAUGGGUUGUUGAAGCGUGGGAUGGUUGAUGAAGCUCUGCUCUUGCUGUCCGAGAUGGUGGAGAAGGGCAUCUCGCCUAAUGUUGUCACAUGCAACAUAUUGAUAGAUGGAUAUUGUUCGCAGGGUGAGAUGGUUAGAGCCAGAGAGCUCUUCGAUUCAAUGGAAAGGACGGGGAUCAAGUACGAUAUAUUCACCUAUAGUAUCUUGAUUAAGGGAUACUGUAAGACGGGAAAUCUUGAUGAAGCGUGGCGUUUCUUUGAUGAAAUCUCGCGUGUAGGUCUCAAACACUCGACCGUGUCAUACACCACGAUGAUGCACGGGCUAAUACACCAAAGUAGUUUUUCAGAUGGGUUGAAGCUUUUCCAAGAUAUGGAAGCUCAGAAUCUACAUCCGAAUCUCUACACCUACACCAUCUUGUUGGAUGGCUUGUGUAGGAUCAGUCGGAUUAAUGAGGCGUUGGCAUUUUUAGGGUGAUGGAGGCGAAAGGCGUGAAUCCUAAUAUCGUUUUGUACGGUGUUCUGAUCAACGGCUUGUGCAAAGGCCAAAGACUUGAUGAAGCUAUAAGGCUCUUCAACCAUCUCCCUUCCAAGGGCUUAAAUCCGAACGUACAAAUCUACAACGUGAUGCUCAACUCCCUCUACAAUGAAGGGCGAGCAGGGGAGGCUAGGAGGUUGAUGGAGGAGAUUGGACAGGAGCGGCNNNNNNNNNNNNNNNNNNNNNNNNNNNNNNNNNNNNNNNNNNNNNNNNNNNNNNNNNNNNNNNNNNNNNNNNNNNNNNNNNNNNNNNNNNNNNNNNNNNNNNNNNNNNNNNNNNNNNNNNNNNNNNNNNNNNNNNNNNNNNNNNNNNNNNNNNNNNNNNNNNNNNNNNNNNNNNNNNNNNNNNNNNNNNNNNNNNNNNNNNNNNNNNNNNNNNNNNNNNNNNNNNNNNNNNNNNNNNNNNNNNNNNNNNNNNNNNNNNNNNNNNNNNNNNNNNNNNNNNNNNNNNNNNNNNNNNNNNNNNNNNNNNNNNNNNNNNNNNNNNNNNNNNNNNNNNNNNNNNNNNNNNNNNNNNNNNNNNNNNNNNNNNNNNNNNNNNNNNNNNNNNNNNNNNNNNNNNNNNNNNNNNNNNNNNNNNNNNNNNNNNNNNNNNNUGGAACAUUUUUAAAAAUUAAAACAGAUUAAUCGUUGUGGAAUUUGUGAUUAGUAUUGGAGGAUGUUGCAGCUGCCUCUUGCGACUGUUUAUGUAUGACAACUGCUUCUGCUCUCAAGCCGUAGAAGGAUGUCUCAAUCUACUCUCAGCUUUUCUUUUUUGUCUCUAAAGCUUGGAUUAUUAUUACAAGGUACACAAUGUUUUUUUUUUUUUGGAGAGGAGUUUGACACAAUGUUUUUUUUUUGGAGAGGAGUUUGACACAAUUAAUGUUAGUUUGGUUAAAAAUGAUCAAUAUGUGAUUGUGGUCAAGUAAAUAUAAAGAACAGGUUUCGAGAAUUAAUUAACCAUUGUUUUGGACUUAUUUAAUGUCAUUUUUAAUUAGCAACUGUGCUAAAAUUGUUUUUUUUCUUUUUUUUUUCACUUUUGGGAGAAGGAGAGGGGUGGGAUUUGAACUCUGGACCCUCACUGUUCGUAGGCAGGAGUUCGCACUGCUUGGUGUCCCCUUAGAGCACUCCCAGCAGAUCACCUAAAUGCAUCACUAACUCUAAAUUUAGGCUAAAACAAUUGAAAAUGAGAUAAAAAAUGCAUCCAGCAAAUCCCCUAAAUUGGAUGGGGCCCACAAAAAUUUUUACACCUACCUAAAUUCAAUCUUAAAUUUACACCCACCCUAAAUUUAUUUUAAGCUUAUAAUUAGUAGGGCCCACACAUAAUUAUUAUUUUUAUGUAGAAAAUAAGAGAGCUGGUGUAUGUAUUUAUAAAAUCGAGAUCCUAAAAUUAAAUAGGGAAGCUUUAGGGAGGAAUAUAAGAGCAUAAUUUUGGAAUUUCUGCUGGGAGUGCUCUUAGGGAUACUGUGCUAAAAUUAUUACAAAUUCGAUAAUUGGAUUUGAAUAAUAUAUUACUAAUCUAUUGAGCUCAAACCGUCAAAAAAUCAUAACUAACUAAAUAUGUAUUCUAUCAUAAAUUAAUUGAACAAUCUAUAUUGUAUAAGGUCGUUUUUCAAAGUUGAUAAAUUAAAGUCGCAAUGUUUUUUUUUCUUUAUAGAAUUACUAGUACACCAAUCCGGGUAAUGUACAGACCACAAUAUAUUUAUUUAUUUUUAAAACUUUAAAUUAUAUAAAAGUGUUAAAAUAUUACUAUUAUUUAUGAGUUAGAUUAAUUAUAACAAAAAAAUAUGUUAAUUUAAAUAUUACUGUAGUAUUUAAUUUUUAAUAGUGUAUAAUAACAAUAUUAUUAAAUUAAUGAGUAUUUUAUAAUAAUAAUAAUAAUAAUAAUAAUAAUAAUAAUAAUAAUAAUUAAAUUUAUAGAUUAUAAAUCCAACAAUUUAAAUUAAUUUCAUUUUGAGCAAAUAACAUUAAACCAUCAUUAUAAAAAAAAUUAAUAGUCGUCAUUUAAUAUAUCAAUUUUGUACACUUAAAGUCAAAAUUGUAUUAUUAUUAUUAAAAGAGCAUAUUUAAAUAAUCCAAAAUUAACUAAAAUUAAGAAAAAUAUGAAUAAUAUAAAAAUAAAAAAUAUAUUUAUAUACAGAGAUAAAAUAUACAUAAUUAAAUAAAUCGACAUAAAAAUUAUUGUUGCCGGCUUCUUGAGAGUUGGGGGUAAGCGGUGGUGGCAUGGUGGAUAAGGGUGGUGGACCGUGGACCGAAAAAUCUGGAUUUUCUAAAACUGUUAAUAUUGGCACCAAAAAAGAGCCGUUAGAAACUGGUGUUUCAUAUAUCAUAUAGAUAUAGAUUUUCUUCAAUUUUUUGAGUUGGGAGAUGAGUGGUUGAGAUUCUACACCAUUUAUUCUUACAAAUUUAUAUUAAAAUCAAUUCAGAUUUUCCAUUUAGAAAUUUUAUGUAUAGGAUUAAAGAAUUUUAAAAUAUAUCAUUAUAAAUUUCCUACACAAUAAUUGCAUUAAAAUUAUUACUAGGAAAAUAGAAAAGCAUAAAAAUAAGUACCAAAAAAAAUCCAAAAAAUGAAAUAAAAUCAAAAUAGAAAAGAAAACAAAAAAGAAGGUGGAUGUAAGAAGAGAGAAAAUGCAUACAAUAAAA
rnacentral:lncRNA from 1 species